UGAUUUUUUCCCAAAUUUCCCCCCUAAAACCCAAAAACGAAAAAACCCCCAAAUUUCCCCCUAAAAUGGAGGCACCAAAGACGAUUCAUCUUCUUUGAUGAGAGUAGCAGUGUGAGGAAUGGGAAUUCAUCUUCUCAUUUGUUGAAACCUGAAUCUGGAGAGAUAUUGAAUUUUGGUGAGAGUAAGAGAAGUGGGAAUGGGAAUUUGUUCACAGGAAACUCUCCGUUCGCCGUGGAGAACAAGAAGAGGUCGCCUAAUUCAAGAGGGAGCAACGAAGAAGCUAUGCUUUCGUUUACUUCAGGUGUAAUUUUACCUUCAUCUGGUGUGGUGAAAUCAAAUGGGGUGCCGGGGAUUCAGAUCACUCUGAUCUUGAAGCUUCGUUUGUUAAGGAGGCCGAAAGUAGUCGAGUCGUAGAGCUUGAAAAGAGGCAUCAAAAACGGGGGAGAAAACCGACUAAUGGAAGAGAAGAGCCUCUAAAUCAUGUUGAAGCGGAGCGUCAAAGAAGGGAGAAGCUUAACCAGAAGCUUUUUGGUGUCUGUGACCCAGUAUUUAUUUUCUUGGAUGAUUGAUUUUUAUUUUGCAGGUGUGAUUGCGUUCUAUAAAUUGGCCGUGGUUGAGGGAAUGAGCAUGAGAGCACUCAUUGCUUACAGAUUCAUCUUCGCCACUGCUUGUAUAACUCCACUUGCUUUCAUCUUUGAAAGGUAACUUUCACAAUUCCUCAUAUAGUCUGUUUUUUUUUAGUGUAUAGGUUUUGAUACCAGAAUAAUUCAAGAACUUAAUCUUUGGUCAACCAACAUAAACAUAGUCAAACAUGGUGGACACCAUCAUACUAGCACCAAACAUGCUGCUGUUGGCGAUCAAGUCUUAGGCUCCUUGUUGGCUUUAGCUUCUUGCCUAACAUUUGCAAUUUGGUACAUAAUUCAUGUAAGUUUUUUUUUAUAUAAUCAUUUUUAUUAGGUGCAUUCAGUAUGUGCAUUAAAAGUGAAUCUAAUUGUUGGAUAUACUCGGACUAGAAAAUGAAUUCGAUUUAGAGGAAUUAAUCAAAUUAAGCUUACGUCUCAAACUAAUCGAGUAUGUUUAAAUUAUUCUUGUUAUGUUUGCGCAUUAUUCUUUCUUUUUUUUUUUUCUUCCUUUUGCAGGUUUCUUAUUUUUGUUACUUUUCUCAUUUCCAUUCUUAUUUUGCAGCCUGCAGCGUGUUGUAAAUCGUUAAGACAAGAAAAGCAUUGAUUUCCAAUGGGGUGGAUUGAAGAAAAUAUGAAAUCAACUCAUAUUAGACAAAUUCUCUCUCAAGCCAUCAGCCUCGGUGCGUUUCCACUUUUCUCUUAAUUCUUUAAAAUCCUUUUAUACUUCAAACAAUUCCAUCGGAUAAUGAUUGAAAUUUUUAGUUUAAAUCUCGUUAAGGAAUGGUUAUUUCAUCGGCACUGAUAAUAUGGAAAGGAUUGAUUUGCAUUAUUGGGAGCGAGUCGCUGGUGGUGGUUGUGCUAUCUGGGAGUAUGGAACCCAGUUUCAAACGAGUGAGCCAAUUUUUUACACGUAUUUAAAAUUAAGUACUUAAAAAUUUUGAGCUUUGAUUUGUGAUAGUCAUAUAAAUUUAAAUUUGCGAAAUGCAGGGAGAUAUAUUUGUGAUAGUCAUAUAAAUUUAAAUUUGCCAAAUGUUGAACUGCUUGAACGACAAGUGAUAGAAGGUUCUCAUGUUCUGAUGUAGAAAAUCUCUAGAAAGUAGAAACAAAUAGUUUUGAUAAGGUUAACACCAUGGUCAACUCUAACAGUCUUGUGCAUGAGCUGUGUACUAGUGGUUGAACAUUUUCUUUCUGAAAUUUAUAUAGGUGUUAUGGCUGUAAAUUAUUUGAAUUAACGGGUCCCCGCCUGGUUAUUCUGUAUGCUGGAUUUAGUACAUUUCAUGUUUGGUUAUGCUUUGUCAGGUUCAUGAGCAGCGAGAUAGCAAAGAAGCUGAUAUACUCACUAAAGGUAACGUAUCCUUGAUAUCAAGCUAGUUGAAUGUGAGCAAAUACAAGUUGUGGUUUGUUUGUUUGUUUUCAACGAACUUUAAACUUUUUAUUAUCAAUCAUGAAAAUAUUUUCUGACUAUUAAAAUCUCUUUCCCCACCAAUGAAGUGGAGAGUGGACACUUCCAAAUAGUUUUGUUUGUUUACUUGUGGAAUGGUCUUAAAUACAUUCCAAGUUCUUCUCAUUUUUUCAUAUGUGUGUGUGUGUGUGUGGUUGAUCAUUCUUUAAAUAUCUUCAUAUGUACAGCUACUGCUUGAGUAUGCUAACCUUUUUAAUCUUUUGACUGGACAUAUUAAUCAGGAGACGCUAAUCUCUACGAUGACAGAAUGUUGUACACAUCUAGUAAUCGUUGGUUGCAACAAAAAUACAUCAUUGGCAGAACUGUUGGGUAAAUCAAACACCUCUAUAUUUCUCAAAGUGUUAACAAGUUCUAGAAGUGAAAACAUUUGUAAAACACUCUGAUUAGGAAUUUCUUGCAUCACCAUUUGUGAUGUAUGCUUUGAGUUUCAAGUUCAUCACACUUCAAUAGUAAAAUUACUCUUCUGUUUUAUUAUUUAUUGUAUUUUUAAUUGUAUAUAUCUUCUCUGAACUAAUGUUUUAUGUUUUCUGCAUGGCAGAAAGGAUCCCAUAGCGUUCACUUAUGCUUACCUGAGGUUUGUUCUAAAUUUUUCCAAAAAUUGGGCUGCCCAGAAAAAAAAAAACUUGAAAUAGGUUUACUUAGUACUAGUUAAAUCGGGCUUGAUUUUAGAUAAAUCUAAUUAUUAUCUUUAAGCAUGAUAUGUUCUAAUACUUUGAUUUAAGCUGUUGAUGUAUGUAUUCUGACUAUGGAAUAUCAUGUUCAAAUAUUCUACAAAGAAGAUAAUUAGGAGAUUCUGCAAUUGUUGAUGGUAAUUGGAAUUUAAGAAUAUAAGCUUAAGGGUUUAAUUGAAAUUUAAGCAUGAUAUGUUCUAAUAUUUUAAAUUUAUAUUGAUGAAUACUUUCCACCUAUAUUGACUUAAGUGAGUAGAUAUAUCAGUAGUGUACAUUUUUUUAUUCCACAAACAAUCUUAAAAAGUUGAGAUAUAUUUUUUAGAUGUAUUUUUUAAUAAUUUACUAUAACAUUAUAAGACACCUAAUUUACUAUAACAUUAUAAAACUAUCUUAAAAAGUUGAAUUGAUUUACGUAUCUUUGCCAUGUUCACUAUGGUUUGAACAGAUUAAGUUACUCUUAUUUUCUUGCAGAGCAUGUAGGAGCCAAAUUUGCGGUUCAAAUUCGAAGCCAUGCUCAAAAGUUUUUCUCUAAGGCUCAUUGCUUUGAGUUCAUUACAAGAUUUCCUUGAUUAAGUAAAUGUAUUAUAUCUUUUAUUACCAAGAUUUACUUGAUUAAGAAAAUGCAUUGUAUAUUUUAUUACCUUGCAUAUGUAUUGUUUAUUUUAGUUUUGAUUCUAAAUUUGUAUUUUUACUUAAGUGGUUUAACUUUUGGAUUUUAAUUGUGUUAUUAAUUUAUUAUUUUAAAUUCUAAUUUUAAAUUCAUUAAUUGUUAUAUUUAUAUUUAGUUUUAAAGUUAAAAUUUUCGUAGAAAAUUUAAUUUAAAUAAUAUUUUUUAUUUAUCCUUAAAACAUAAUAUAAUAUUUAUCAUAGAAAUAAAUAUUAUUUGAAAAAAAAUUAUUUUUUUUAAAAGAUAUAUUUUUAGCGGCGGUUGUGUUAAAAGUGCUGCUAAAGGUCUAUUCUAUAGCGGCGUUUGUGGGAAAAAGCGCUGCUAAAGCUUAAUAUCUUUAGCGGCGUUUGUGAAAAAAGCGCUGUUAAAGGUCUUGGACUUUAGCGGCGUUUGUGGGGAAGCGCCGCUAAAGGUCUUGGUCUUUAGCGGCGUUUGUGGGGAAGAGCCGCUAAAGGUCAUGGUCUUUAGCGGCGUUUAUUUAUAAAAACGCCGCUAAAAUUAGCGACGCUGUCAUUAGCGGCGUUUUUAGCGGCGCUUCUCAAAGUACCGCAAAUACUUUUAGUGGCGCUAAAAACGCCGCUAAAGACUUAAAAAAGCGCCGCUAAAAGCUUGUUUUGGUGUAGUAUACUGAGUUUAACUCGAGAUUUUUGUUAUAAUGUUUAGCUGCUAGGAAAAUGGAAGUUCUGGCGUUUGGAAAAGCUAAGCUUGGGAGACAAGAGACAUCACGUGAGUUUCUAUAUUCCAUCCCUAGAAAUGUUAAAUGGCUGGAAUGAUUAUGUAUUAAGUACUAUAAUGAUGUAUAAACUAUACUGAUUGUGAAUGCUAAGUACAAGUGGCUCAUUACGGAGGGAUUACAAUCGAUAGCAGGAAACCCCACUUCAAAUCAAAAUGAACUACAAGACUACUAUACAAAAUCGUCGAAACUAAAACUACCAAGCAAAAUAUGAAUAGAUAUGUGGAAAAUUACAAAUGGUUUUAUUCCAACACCUUACAACUUAAAGUAGAAAGGCCUGGUAAGAAACGAUCGAUGCCCGAUGUGCAAGGAUAGGGAGGAAUCAGUGGAACAUAUAUUUCGGGAUUGUACCUUCACAGCAAAGAUCGUGCAAUAAUUGGGUGUGGCAGACUCAACCACCAAUAGAAACCAGGGUUAGAAAAAUUGGUUAGCAAUUUUCUUUCUAAACAACAAUCAUACACAAUUCAAACUGUUAGCCAUGACAUAUUGGUCCUUUUGGUUUAACAGAAAUAAAAUGUACCACGAAGACAUUAAACCCAAUAAAACAGAGUUGAUAUCAUUCAUCAGGGCAUAUAUUAUAGAAAAUGAAAUGUUGAAUGGUUUGCUGAUAAUAAAAUCAGUAGACAAAAAUAUAAAAUGGGAACCACCCAAUGCAGAUACUAUCAAAAUAAACUUCGAUGCUUGCAUGAACGAGGGACUGGUAAUGGGUGCAUUUAUUUACCCAUGUAGACACAUCGCGAUCCCAACAACGGCGGAGGCAUGGGCGUGCUUGCAUGCAAUCACUUUCGGGGAAGAGUUAGGAUUCCGAGAAAUAUGUUUCGAGGAGGACUCAUUAAUGGUAAUAAGGGGAAUAGAAAUUUCAAAAGUGGCAGAUCAGAUAUUAGCGCAAUAUUAAAAGAAAUAAAAAAGAAAAUCCCUAAUUUCACAAGGAUCACUUUUCGGUACAUACCCAGAACAGCUAACGGUGUGACACAAGCAUUAGCAAGAGAGGGUCGAUGUCAUGAGCUGCCACGAUACUGGAUAGAGGAGGUCCCAGAUUCAUUAGAAGAAGCUGUCAAAUAUGACCGAGAAGCAAGUGAGAGGACAGUUUGAAAAAAGGCGUUGUGAGACCGGAAAAGGUAAAAGGCUAUUACGAGGACUUGUGGACACAAGUGAUUCUAUCUGGCACUGGUGCAGGUGUUUAUUUUGGCGAAGAAGAAGAUAGGUAGUGAAAUGGGGAGAUCUGGGUGAUUGCUUAGGUUUUAGAAAGUUCUGUUUUUGUUAGGGUUUGAUUUCAUUACUACACCGUUUGGGUGCCCAAUAGAAAAUUAGGUUAGUAAAUGCGUGAGGUGGAGAUAUUAUGAGGCACUAUUUGGGUGGCCAUUAGAAGAAUUACAGCUGCUAAAGCUGUUAUUUAGGUUAUGACCUGCUUCAUUUUAUCCCUCAUCAAUGCACCAGUUCAGUUUAUACUAAUGAGAUCUGAAGAUGAACGUAUAAAUUCCCAAGGCACUCACACGAUCUCACAAACAGCCACUUCAGUUACGCUUAUGUUGAUUUUAACCAUGGUUUCUCAAAGCUUCAUUGUAGUUGUCACACCUGAUUUUCAUUAAAUCUUAAAAUUAGGAACAAUUAGAGGUUAAAUUAGAAAAACCGUAAGUUGAUGACCUCUACUGAAAAAUUAGGAAAAGUUAGUAACUGGUUUAAACAUGAUUGAUGGCUUUUGAGGGGUUCUGCAUGUUUCUGAAAAACUGAGUUUUAAGCUGAAAUUAUUGAGCUUAGCUCAAGAUUUUGGUUAUAAUGCUUAGCUGCCAAGAGAAUGAAAGUUUUAGCAUUUGGAAUAGUUAAGCUUGGGAGGCAAGAGACAUCAGGUGAGUUUGUAUACUCCAUCCCUAGAAAUGUUAAAUGACUGGAAUGAUUAUGUAUUAAGUACUGUAAUGAUGUAUAAACUCUACUGAUUGUGAAUUCUAAGUAUGCAUAAGAUUAUUUUAGCUUAUGGGUAUUUGCCAAGAUAGUUAAAUGCACAUGAAAUAGUUAUGAUUCCAUGUUUAAAAAGAUAGUGUAUUCCAUGAUAAUAUAUAAAUGAAAUGCUUGUAUUGUUUGAUUAUAAUGGUGGGGUAUGGGAGGGAGAUUAUUGACGGGUUAGUUGGAGUUAGGAUUUGGGGAAAUAGUUUUUCUAUAUACCACCAUAUGGUGUUGCUGGGUGCAAAUCAUUAUAUGUGAAGCUUCGGGUCUUGCGGAGGGGACAUUGCGAUGUUUAAGCAUCAAGGUAGUACUGGUAAACUGGAGGUAUGGGAGGAUGAAUAGGAAAAUGGAAUUUCGUUAAGAUUCUGUCAUACAGUGUUGCUGGGUGCAAACCAUGAUGUGUGAAGCUCCUAGCCUUGCAGAGGGGACAUUGCGGUGUUCAAACAUCAAUGUUAAAUGUUAAGUGGAAUGAUAUUGAUUGGUUCUUCGGGGUGACACUGUGACGACAAUUAUUAGGUUCCAUAGAGCAACACUGCGACGACGUCAACAAACUCUAUAGGAAAACACCACGAUGAUGGUAAGGUACUACAGGGAAACACCUUAAAAGAAGUCUAAUAUGUAAGACCAUAACUUGACUAUGACAAGCAACAGAGUCCACUGGGAUAUUAAACAUGAGGUAGUUCACCAGGAAACAUGAGGUUAUAUUGUGUAAGACCAUAACUCGACUAUGGCAGCUUAUGGAGUCUGUCGGAACAUUAAACAUAGGGUAGUCCGCUUGGACGUUAAACAUGGGGUUAUAUUAUGUAAGACCAUAGCUUGGCUAUGACAACAUAUGGAACCUGUUGGGACAAUAAACAUGAGAUAGUCCACUGAGAUAAUAAAAACAGGAACAUCCGUCGGGAUAUUAAACACGGGGAUUAUUGGUACAAGACCAUAGUUUAGCUAUGACAGCAUAUGGAGUUUACCAGGGCUGUAAAUAUGGAAAGACACACAAAUGUUGAGAUUUUCAAAUAUUGACAAGUGAUAACCGACCAAUGGAUUUGAGAAAUCCACUAAAAAGGAACAAAAGUAAUAGAAAUGGAAAAAGUCCACCCAACAGUAACUAAGGAGGCUGAUAGGGCGUAUGGUGAUAACCCAACUAGGAUCAGUUAGGGGAAUGAUGUGCCACUAAUGCAUUGUAUAUAGAUAAUGGAAGGGGAUCUAUCCGUAGAUCACGGGUAAGGAUCUACCAUUAAGAACCGCCAAAAGGUGCUCAAAGAAGUUGUUCACGUUAGAGUAAGACUUGGAAGGUGAUUGGGAGAUUCAUUCCCAAUAUAAGGCUCAUUGAAAUCAUAGCUUAUGAGAGGAGGAUUAAUCGUUUGUACUUCGGGUAGACUAAUUGGCAAAGACACCACAUCAUAAGAGUUUUAUCUAGGAAGGUGUUAUGGGAAUCUGUAAGAAUGCUGAAUUGUCUAAGAAUCGCCACAACAUGUUGACGGUUAUAAACUUAACCAAGUAAAGAUUAAUAAGUUGUUGAUUCGUCAAGAAUGAAAUAUGGAAGUCGUCUUGGAGUCUGCCACUCCAGAGAAAGCAUAAACAUCUGAGCCAAAUAGGGAGUAGCAUGUUGUUCCCUUUUAGUUAAACCUUUGGCAAGAUGGGUUUUAGUUAUGUUUUUGUAUAUGUAUUGGUAAAGAAACUCUCUAAGUUCUUUAAACUUACAGGAUUUUGGUCCAUGUUUGGGGGAUUGAAGAGCCCGAAGAGGGACCAAGUCAGACCCUGUUGAACCUAGUAACAUCGAUAGUGAAGUGUCAUGCACAUAGAAGGGGGUACCUCUAGAUGCUUCGCCUCGGGAUCGAAUAUAUUGUAAUUAAAUAGUUUCCUUAGAUUUUGAAUUUGGAGAUAGUAAGUUUUUAUAUUAAAGUUUCUGUUGUAAGAAUUAUUUAUUGUUACUUAAUAAAGUCAGUCUUUAAAGUCGUUAAGUUUAAAAUUUGUGUUUUGUAACAGCCCGAAUUUGGGGGCUAGUCGGAAUAGUAGUUUCGGGACCACAAAUUCGACAAGAAAAAAAUUUAUUUUCAUUACAUUUUUAUGGUCUAUGAUUUCACAAAAUGAUUUCAUGAAAAUUUUGUUCGAAAAUUUUGACGUUUGGGCACUCAAUUUAGAGGUGUCCAAUUGUUAUGAAAUUUUAAAUUGGAGGUCUUUAUAUGAUAAUUAGACCAUUGGUUAAGUUGGUGGACAAAAAUGGGUAUGGUUAGGCAUGUUUCCAAAGUUUUUUAUUAAGGGCAUUUUGGUCAUUUAGUUAUUAAAAUGAAUUAAAAACAAAAUUAAAAGCCAAUUUUUGUCCAUCUUCAACCCCUAGGCUGAAAAUUGCAUGGAGAAACCAUGGCUAGGGUUUUUCAAGCUUUCAAGCUCGAUUGUAAGUCCGUUCUAUCCCCGUUUUUAAUGAUUUUUAUGUUUUUGAAAUCCUCGUAACAAGAUUUACCUAUUUUUACCAUUGUUUUGAACUAGAGUUUGUGUUUAAAAAUUUACCCAUGAAUGAUAUGCAUGUAUUUUGAUGUUUUAUGGAAGAAUAUGAAUGUUUGGAGUGUGAUAAACGAUUUGUACUAAGUAAUUUUCGAUGAAAAUGCUUAAAAGGAUUAAUUUGUAAAAGUUAUAAAAUAUGUCACAAGUGUGUGAAUAAGUGAGUAUUGUGGACUGCUUCAACUAGGCCUAAAAUACAAGGAAAAUGAAUAAAAAUUAUUUUACGACCCUAGGGGCAAAAUCAUAAUUUUGUGAAACUUUAGGGGCAAAAACAUAAUUUUUCCAAAGUAUGAUUUUUUGACUGGAAUGAAUAGUGUGAAGAUUAUAUAAGUUAAAUGUAUUGUUAUAAAUCAAGAAAGACGAGAAAUGGAAAUUGAUCGAUAAAAAAAAUGAGAAAAAGUGAAAAAAUCUCGAAUGAACCUUUGGAAUAAAAAGGGAUACGAAUGAAGUGACAAAAAUGAUCACAUGUGUGGCACGGAUUGUGUGUAGGCCACUAUGUAAAAGUGAAAGUGAUGGUCACGUGUGUAGUACUAUGUGCAAGCUACUACGUGUAUCGGAAUGAUAGUUCGCAUGUAUAGUACUAUGUGCAGGCUACUAUGCGUACCUGAUAGUUUCGAUCACGUGUGUAGUACUAUGUGCAGGCUACGUGUAUCGAAUGGUAAUGGUCAUGUGUAGUACUAUUGAUGCGAUCCCGGUCGCAUCAUGUUACGACACAACUCGAUGCUACCGAGAUUGGCCCAAACUCUAGGGGCCCAAGUGCAAAAUGAAGUUUUUAAUUUCAGUUUGUCAAUUUGGCAGUUGAAAAAUAAGGACUUUGAUUCAUUAAUUUUUAGUUAUUUUAGUUUGUGUUUUUAAUUAUGUCAUAGUUUGCACAUCAUUAAUAUGUGUUCUGCAUUUAAUAAAGUCAUGCAUUAUGUAACUUUCAUGUUAGUUAAGUUUGCAUCAUUAAAUUAAGUCAAGUUAGUUUAAUUAUGUAACUUUCAUGUUAGUUAAAUUUGCAUUUCAAAACCAUGCAUUUAAGCAUCUUAGUUUAAUAAAUGAGUUGCUGGACAUUUAUUCAACUCAUAUUAGUUUUAAUUAAUAAGUGUUUUUGUUGAACUUUAUUUAAUAAGUGUUGUUCUUAAUUAAUCUAGUUCCUAGGAUUAUUUAUUGAUGCAUGAGUUAAGUUCAUUUAAUUAUGUUUCUUUAAUUAAACUAGUUGCUGGAAUAAUUAUUGCAUAUAUGUUUUAGUUCAUUUAUUUAAGUAAGUUUAAUGUUUAUUAUGAUUAAUAAGUGUUUUCAUUUGUUUAAUAAACUCAUUUUAAUGUGUUUAUUGCAGGUGACUUUUUAGCUUAUAGUGGUUACAAUUCAAGGCUGUUACACAUUUAAUUAAGUGGUUGUUCAAGUUCUUUUGAGUUACAAUUAAAGGGGCUGUUAUAAAGGGAGCUUAAAAUCAUUAAAAGAGUUUUUAAAGAGCAUUUUAUGCCCUUUAAAAUUCAGCAGCAACUCUUCCACUUCCAGCCGUUUUUGGAGCUUUCAAGAGAAAUUAAUCAAGCCUUUGAAUGUCAUUAAGGAGCUGGUUAAGAGAUGGUGUCUAUUCAACUAGCCAAGGACAACUCAAGAAUCAUUUUCUAAGCCAUUAAAGACAUUCAAAUCAGCUGAAUUAAAAUGAUUGUAUGGAAGGAGUUAUUUGGUUCAAAGAAUAAGAAAAGACAUCAGUUUUUAUGGCAGAUUAAGUGGAUGUUUUUGACCAUUCGGUUACCUUGUUUUAGCAUUAUAAAUAGAUGUAAUCAGCCAUAGAGAGAAAGAACUUUUUGCUGAAUAUAGAUGAAAUAUUUGAAUUGUGAGCUAUCCAAUUCUUUUUGUUCUUUCGGAAUUGAUUUGACUUAUCAAGCAUAGCUUGUGGCGUCCAUCUUUUCUUUGUUGCUGAACUUAUCACCUUUGGUGUGGCGUUCAAUAUACCUUUGGUUCCUAUCAUAGUUGAUAGUGGGUCAAGGUUCCUUUCCUGUUUCCUUUAACCGAAAAACACCUAAAGACCAUUUUGAGAUUCGGGUCAACAAUUCGUUAUUGUUGGUUCAUUUUCGGUCUUAGCCAAUUAAUUUGUUAUUGUUUCCUCUUUAUUUUGUUUAUUACCUUUGUUUGAAGCCAUUAUCUCUAUUUUGUUUCAUUUUAAAACCGAAACGAAUCCAUCCUUAUUCAAUUCACGAUUGGGCAACACAUACGACUCAAAACAUCACGAGACGAGUUCGUAUCAAAUUGGUAUCAGAGCUAGCGAAUUUGGAGUAAGAAUCGACGUUGUCGGCAUUACGGUAUAGUAGUUUCUCGAAAAAAAAUUCAAAAAAAAAUUAAAAAAAAAAUUUUGGUUUCCAUUCAAACUUAAAAGAUUGGAUAUCAAGUUGUGAAAAAAAAAAUUUUGAAAAAAAAAUUGUGAAAAAAAAAAUUGUGAAAAAAAAGAGAGCUAGUUUUGAAAUUUAGUUUUUGUUUGCUGCCCAAAUUUUAGUCAUUAUUACCUUCUACUAUUUCGCCACACCCAACCUUUUCAUUUCUUUGUUUCAAGCCUACCUUCCUUUGUCCUACAAUAAUCUUACCAAGCCCAAACAUCAAGUUUGUAAGCCGACCCACAACAACUGCUUUUUAAGUUUAAAUAAUUCCUAAGAACUUAGAGAGGAGGAGUGAGUGGAAAGAGGCAAGAGAGUAGUGAGUUUAUUCGAGAGAAAAAAAAAGCCAAGGAAGUGAGAUUUCUUUGUGAGUGGAUAGUGAGAUUUUCUUUGUUGUGAGUUCUUAAAAAAAUGUCACGAAGUCUAGAAAAAAAUUCAGACAAGGGAGUUGGAUUCCGUCCUAUAAGAAUUGUUGGAGGAAGUGUGCCAGAUUUUACACUCCAAGCCUUUACGCAUGAAAUGGAGCAUCUAUUUGAUCGAAAACUCAAACCCAUCAAGAAACGAUUGGAUCGUGUCGAAGAGCAGAGUCAUCGAGCAAGAACCCAACGAGAGAAAAUUUAUCCAAAUGAAAGGACGAAAAUGAGAUCAUCAAGGAGACAAACAUUCGACGAAUAUGUGAAAAGAGACCCUUAUCCAGAUUCCUAUUCUUCAAGGAAUUUAGGCCGAAAUAAAUCCAGCUAUGAGUUUGAAGCCUAUCAAGGUAACGAAUGAGAAAGUACAAGUCAUUCUUCGUAUGCAUCAAAGUAUUCAUCUACGGAAAAAUUCUUACGAAGAAGUGAAUGUGUUUCGUAUAAGAACUCAUCCAUGAAGGUUUAUUCACGAAGAGUUGAUCGUGGCUCUUAUGAAGAUUCUUCCAUUUCUUUCCAACGAAAAGUCUAUUGUUCUGAUUCUUUUGUAUUAUCUCCAUUUUGUAAUAAAGUUGAGAGAAGAAAAAGAGUGACGAGAGAAAAAGAAACCGAAAUAAAAAUUGAAAAAGAGAAAAAGAUUGGAGAAAGAAAAGAAAGAGUGCAAGAAACAAGUGUUGUUGAAAAUGAAAGAGAAUUGAUGAGUGAAAGUGAGUUUUCAACAAACAAAGAGAUUGUGGAAAAAGAAAGAGAAGUUGAAAAAGAAACGAGUGAAAAAGAUGAAAGUCAACAAGAAAAAGCGAGGAAUGUUUUUACUAACCAAUCUGCAAGUUGUCCUCAUAUUGUUUCUUCUUUCCAGGUUUCUAGAGAUUCAAAUGACAAGUUUCAACUUCAUUACCUUCUUGAUGAGAGACGAUUCCAUUUGAUCGAAAAAGGUAAGGUUCAAGCGCUUAAAGGUAAGCAAGGUAAGGAGUUUUUAGUCAGUGAAUCAUGGCAAUCAGGUUUGAAAGUUGUUGAUAAAAUUUCCGAUAACUUAGUUUUAAAAAGAUCUCCUUAUUUUGAUUUGGUUAAUUGUUACUCGCUAUUUGUGGUUGAUAAAUUCGUUUUAAGUGGAGGCAUGAAGAGUUGUUCACUCAAUAAGUUUUGUGUUGAAAAAUCUUUUGAUGUUGUUCGAUUAAAUCCACAAAUACAAAAUCUGAUCAUGUUUGAUAAAGAGCUUUCAUGUGAAACGCUCAAUCUGUUUGAUCGUGAUGGUAAUGAAAAUUUUUUAACUCUUAGUGUGAGAUUUUCGUAUAUUUGCUUGAGAUUUGAGAGAUUUGAUUGUUUGAAUUUAUUUUUGCCUACAUCUUCUUUAUUUGGCAUGUGUGAUGUCUUGGUGAAAGUGAAGUUUUUGUUACGUUACGGAAUGACCGAUCAAAACCAUGUUUUUAAACCCGGAGCCUUUAUUCCUAAGUUGACGUCAAGCGAAGGUGAGUAUCAAAAUUGUAUUUUGAAUCAAUGUGUUGACCCCUUCUAUUUGCUUCACGUUUUAUCUUUAUUUAGUUCGAAAACCAAACAUGUGAAUUUCGUUGGCUUGCCAAGUCAAAAUCAAAUUUUUGAUUCUGGAGGUUGUUGUAUAUUGUUGCUUAAUGGAUUCGAACAUGUGUUGCAUGAUUUUAACUUUAAUGUGCUUCAAGUUCUUCAUAAGUUACUAGCCACAAAUUUUUCUGGUCAAACUGAAAUGGUGAACAAAAACUUUAUCUUUGAUCCCGGUGAAUGCUGUUCCAUAUCAUUGUUCAAGGGAUUUGGACCAUGGAAUUCUAAUUUUUGAAACUAUAAUCUUCAAAUAUCUUGUGAAUCAGGUUUGUUUCCAUUGAAGAAAAAGGUAAUACCAAUUUCUGUUUUUGAUCCCGGCAUUGAUUCAUAUGUUGUUCUUUUGAGUUUAUUUGCUCAAGUUGUGACUAAAAUCUUGGAAAGUUCUUUUGUGUUUAACCUUCAUUGUGUCACUAAUUUGUUUUAUUGUUUUGUAGGUGGCAUUGUUAGGUGGUACCCUCCUAAAGAGGGAGGGCAUGCAAAUAACCUACUUUCUUGUCGAGCCGUAUAUGAUUCACACGUUCUUGAAAGUGACUUUGUCAGGUUUAUGACCAACGAGGUUUGUGACCUUGAGAGGUUUGUCGCGAGCAAAUGGCCCGAUUUGAGGACAAAUCAUUUUCAAGAGGGAGGGUAUGAUGCGAUCCCGGUCGCAUCAUGUUACGACACAACUCGAUGCUACCGAGAUUGGCCCAAACUCUAGGGGCCCAAGUGCAAAAUGAAGUUUUUAAUUUCAGUUUGUCAAUUUGGCAGUUGGAAAAUAAGGACUUUGAUUCAUUAAUUUUUAGUUAUUUUAGUUUGUGUUUUUAAUUAUGUCAUAGUUUGCACAUCAUUAAUAUGUGUUCUGCAUUUAAUAAAGUCAUGCAUUAUGUAACUUUCAUGUUAGUUAAGUUUGCAUCAUUAAAUUAAGUCGAGUUAGUUUAAUUAUGUAACUUUCAUGUUAGUUAAAUUUGCAUUUCAAAACCAUGCAUUUAAGCAUCUUAGUUUAAUAAAUGAGUUGCUGGACAUUUAUUCAACUCAUCUUAGUUUUAAUUAAUAAGUGUUUUUGUUGAACUUUAUUUAAUAAGUGUUGUUCUUAAUUAAUCUAGUUCCUAAGAUUAUUUAUUGAUGCAUGAGUUAAGUUCAUUUAAUUAUGCUUCUUUAAUUAAACUAGUUGCUGGAAUAAUUAUUGCAUAUAUGUUUUAGUUUAUUUAUUUAAGUAAGUUUAAUGUUUAUUAUGAUUAAUAAGUGUUUUCAUUUGUUUAAUAAACUCAUUUUAAUGUGUUUAUUGCAGGUGACUUUUUAGCAUAUAGUGGUUACAAUUCAAGGCUGUUACACAUUUAAUUAAGUGGUUGUUCAAGUUCUUUUGAGUUACAAUUAAAGGGGCUGUUAUAAAGGGAGCUUAAAAUCAUUAAAAGAGUUUUUAAAGAGCAUUUUAUGCCCUUUAAAAUUCAGCAGCAACUCUUCCACUUCCAGCCGUUUUUGGAGCUUUCAAGAGAAAUUAAUCAAGCCUUUGAAUGUCAUUAAGGAGCUGGUUAAGAGAUGGUGUCUAUUCAACUAGCCAAGGACAACUCAAGAGUCAUUUUCUAAGCCAUUAAAGACAUUCAAAUCAGCUGAAUUAAAGUGAUUUUAUGGAAGGAGUUAUUUGGUUCAAAGAAUAAGAAAAGACAUCAGUUUUUAUGGCAGAUUAAGUGGAUGUUUUUGACCAUUCGGUUACCUUGUUUUAGCAUUAUAAAUAGAUGUAAUCAGCCAUAGAGAGAAAGAACUUUUUGCUGAAUAUAGAUGAAAUAUUUGAAUUGUGAGCUAUCCAAUUCUCUUUGUUCUUUCGGAAUUGAUUUGACUUAUCAAGCAUAGCUUGUGGCGUCCAUCUUUUCUUUGUUGCUGAACUUAUCACCUUUGGUGUGGCGUUCAAUAUACCUUUGGUUCCUAUCAUAGUUGAUAGUGGGUCAAGGUUCCUUUCCUGUUUCCUUUAACCAAAAAACACCUAAAGACCAUUUUGAGAUUCGGGUCAACAAUUCAUUAUUGUUGGUUCAUUUUCGGUCUUAGCCAAUUAAUUUGUUAUUGUUUCCUCUUUAUUUUGUUUAUUACCUUUGUUUGAAGCCAUUAUCUCUAUUUUGUUUCAUUUUAAAAUCGAAACGAAUCCAUCCUUACUCAAUUCACGAUUGGGCAACACAUACGACUCAAAACAUCACGAGACGAGUUCGUAUCAACUAUGUACAGGCUACUAUGUGAACUGAACAUCAUUGAUUAGUAAGGUGGUUGCUAUGUGCUGAUUCCACCGGACAUCAUUGAUUAAUAAGGUGGUUGCUAUAUGCUGAAUCCACCGAGUAUCUGUUAUUAUUCCGAAGUGUUCAUCUGGAAAUUGACUAAGUGUAAUUGAAUAAUAAAUAUAGGCGUGGAAUUGAAUUGAAUAUCGACUUAGAAAUGGAAAAAUGAAUUUUGAAUUGAAUUGUGAUUGAAAGUGAAAAAGUGAAAUUAUGAAAGUGUACAUUUAGCAAUAAAAUAGUUUAGACAGCAACAGUUGUGUGACUUUAAAAAAUCACCAAAAAUGGUGGAGAUUGAAUUAGAGGCUGAAUAAUAUAUAAAAUUGAAGCUGAAUGAGUUUAUUUUCACAUAAAAGAAACAGAGCAAGUAAAAGAGUUAUAUAUUUUGAGAUAUUUGAAGUUUAGUUAGAUAGAGUUAGAAUGAGUUCGGAAUCCCCUAUUCUGAAUUUGGAAAAUUGUAAAAAAUUUUAAAAAAAUAAUUAUGGGAUAAAUUUUAUAUGUUUAGAAUCCUCAGUGAAUUUAUUUUCAAGAGAAAAAAAACGAAAAAAAUAUCCGAAUUCUGUACAAUGAGAUGAUUAAUUUUAAGUGAAGAGAGGUUAGAACUGUCGAACAGUGAAACAUGGGAAACUUUAAAGAAUAAACUGUACUAUUUGGCUAAACCAAAAAUUCUAAAAAAAUUUUGGUAAGAAUAUAUGUGAAUCUAGUUUUAGGGAAAAUUACGGAUCUUAAUUUGGAAUUUUGUAGCUUCGGAUAAAAAUAAUUUAGUGACUCUGACUCGAAUAGACAGCUUUGAAUAUACAUGUGAGUGAAUAGUGAAAUUGGAGUUAAUGUUGUUUAAGUGUGUUAUACACAUUAAGGAUGUGGAAUGGAGAGGAGGAGGAGGAAAAUUGGAAGAACAUAUGAAUUAUUUGUGUAUAAUUGACCAUAUGCUCAAUUAUAAUCGAUAAACGAUUGAAAAGAAAUGAUGUUUAUAAUUGUGCAUUAUUAGUUAUAGUUAAAGUUCAUGUGAGAAAAUAAAGUUUCAUAGUAUGUGUAUGUGGUAUACUUGGUAUAUGAUUUGGUAUGUAGCAAUGUCAGAAAUGGUUUAUGAAUUAACUCAUGUUGAUAAGUUUGAUACAUAAAUAAAUGUGGUGCUUAUCCAUGCUUGUAAUGCUUAUACUAUAUUUUUAUUUGGCUAGCAUGUUUGGUGUGUAUGCUUAGGCUUUGGCCAAGUUGUGGCUGGAUUACGCCACAUUAAAUUUAUAAAAUUAUGCAUUGAGAUGGUAAAUGUCUAGAUGGAAAUAUGCUUGUGAUCAUAAAAGGGUGGUAAGGUUUAAAGUUUGUAAUCUUUAUUAAAAUGGUUUAUCAUGUGGUUAGUCUUCAAAAAGACUAGCUCGCGACUAUGGUUGAGUGUAAUGUUUAUAUCUUGUGUGAUAUGCAUAGAAAACAGGAGUGGAAAGGAAAUGAAAUACUAAGUUCAUGCUUGAAGUGUAAAAUGAUGCAAAAAGGGGACGUUAAGUUAAACGACAAAUAUGUAUUAGUAUUGAACUUAAUAAAAUUGAAUUGUACGUGAAUUAAAUGGAAAUGCAAAUGAUAUGAUGUGAAUUAAAUGAAUUAUUGUGGUAUUGAAAUGUAUAUUGGAUUGAGAAAUUGAAUUGAAUGUGAACAUGAGAAUCGCGAAUUAAAUGAAAUAGAAAUGAAGUAUUGAAUUUGCAUGAGUAUGUAUUGGGUCUCAGAAGCCCUAUUUGUUAUAAAUAUAGUAUUUUGAAGUUAUAACGUGAAGAUUUAUAAAAGCAUGUUAAAAAAUUUGAAGAGUUUAAAUUUGAAUGAAAUUUUAUAAUUCGGUUUAACAUGUUUAUAAGUGUAUGUGUUCUGGUAAUGCAUCGUACCAUAUUCCGGCGUCGAAUAUGGGUAAGGGGUGUUACACUGUGGCAUCGCUAGAUUCGGUCAUAACGUUUAGACCGGAUUUGGGGUGUUACAUGUUUAAUCUAAUCCGGUCCAUUUGUGGUACCCCAUACCCGAUUCAACGAUCGAGUUGAAUGAGGGUGUUACAUUAGUACUAAAGAUUAAAAUAUAGGUUGUAAUAUGAGUAGCAACUUUUGUUAAUCAAGUUUACCUAAAUCAUUGUUUGUGGAGAAAGUAAUUUUAACUUCAAUUUAAAUAUUUUGAUCCAAUUUUAAUAUAGAAAUGAAUUAUAAACGCUAUCAUAAUUCAAAUCUAUGUGUAAAGUUAAUGUACUAAAUUUUAUAAUUAAGCUAGAAAAUUCCUCAGACAAAUUUUAUAAAAUCAUUUAAAGGAAAUUAUAUAAUCUAUUUUUUAACAAAAUUUGAUGGAGAAGAAGAAUAAUGUGAAACCUAAACAAACUUUUGAAUUUCACAUCAUGCAAAUAUUUUAUUCACAAAUGUCAUCAUCAAACCGCAUUUAUAUUAAAAGGGGAAAAAGAGCUGGAUUUUAGUUAAUUCUUAGUCUCUAAGACUGGCGUCACUACCAGUUCCACACCAUCUUGAUGAUAUAUACUAGAGAUAAAAGAUAAGGGCCAAUUCACUAAAAGUCCCUCAAACUAUAUAUUUUAAAUUGGUCUCUAAAUUUUAAGAUGUUCCAAUUGAGUUAUCUAAGUAUUAGAAUAAUAUAAAUCUAGUCAUCAACUUUAGUUUUAAAUGUCAAUUUAGAUCUAACAUGAAACAUAUUUAAAACAUGUAAAUUAAAUUAUAGAUACAUAUAUACUUACCACGUGUCAAGCUUGUAUCUAAUUUGUUAAAAACAAAUAUUGCCAAUAAAAUUGAGGGAGACUUUUAAAGACCAAAUACUUAAUUGAUAUAAUAUUGAUACUUUGAGGAGGGGAGGGGGGAAUUGAAAAUUUGUUACUUUGAUGUAACACUUGCACAUUAACUUUAAUUUCUACUUAUCUCAUCAUUAAUUAAAAAUUAAUUACUUGAGUACUUAUACAUAUUUGACUCAUACUACAUUAUUUUUAUUAUAUUUAUGUUCAUAUAUAUACUGUUUUUUUACUCAUGUAAUGUAUCAGUUUAGGUGCAUGUAUUAAUUGAAUUAUAGUAUGUCUUUUGUUGAAACUCUGUAUUAAUUAAAUUAAGAUUUCUCUAUUAAUUUAAUAUGAAAGUAAUACAAAAAUCUAUUUCUCGAUAUUAAAUAAGUAAAAAAACUAAACCAUAUAUUUAAAUAAUCAAUAGCCUUAAAAUAAAAAAUUAUAAAAAAAAGUUUGAAUUAAAAAAAAAGAAUAAAAUUGUUUGGACCCCAUUAUCUCACACACACACACACAAAAAAAACUAAUUGGAGGUACAAACACCAACUCUUUGGCAAAAGUAUUUAUAUAAAAAAUUUAAGAAAGUUAAUAGAAAGAUAAAAAUUUUAAUUGUUUUGGGUUAUUAAAUUGGAAAAGAAAUCAGUAAUACAUGUUAAAUUUUUUUAUAAAAUAUUAAUAUUUAUUUAUUGACACAAAUUUCAAAAUAAUUACUAAAUUAGUAGUACAUGUGAAAAUUUGUUUAAAAAUGUUAUUAUUUAUUUGUUUAACAAUUAAUUAAAAUUUUAUUUUAAAAAUUGGUCCCACUUUCUAUAAUAGUAAAAAAUGUGGAGCUGGCAUGUAGUCAACACUAACACUUGUUAGAAUUUGAACUCAUCAUUAAAUAAUGUUUCCUAUAAAGGUUAAAUUUUGCUAUUAACCCCUAUACUUAGUAAAAGUUAUGGAUUUAAUUUCUAUAUUUUAUUUGUCAGUUUUAGUCUCUAUAUUUUUCAAAAUUUAAAAUUUUAGUAAACACCAAAUAAUAAUUGUUAAAUUCAUUAAUUAAAGUUCUAUUGUAACACCUUAUACCCAGUUUGGUCACCAAGCCCGAAUAUCAUGAUGCCACACCACCAUCUCAUGUCAUACUCAUAGUAAAUUGUCACAUUAUUAAGAAAUUAUCCUCUUUAUUAGUGAUCUUAUAAAUUUUUAGUUAGACAUAUACCAAUCAUCAUUAGAACAUGCCAAACAUACUUUAAAUAAUCUUAUAAUAAAUAAACAUGCAUAAGGUCAAAUUUACGAUUUUGACUUUCUGCACAUUUCAAAAUCACACAGGUAUCAUUUUUACAACAAGAAUAUCGAUACCUCUGCUCCAGACCGGGAAAAUACAACAUACUUGAGCAUACAAAUCAUUCCAACAUGUACCAAUCCAUCAUGCUAUCAUAUCGUCUAAAUGUCAAAAACGAUCGUAGUAAUAGUCUCAAGCAUUGAAAGUAAGUCCGAGCAAUAAUCAACGUAAUAUGAAAUGAAUUUCAUAAACUUAGGAACAAAUAAUCUAUGGAAGCAUCCAAGCAUCAUGACAAAUAUUAGUAAAAGUCUACCACAUUGCCUUAUCCCCAAAAUAUAAACAAAUAACAAUAACCCCUAUGAAAUCACAGAAAAUGACCUGCUUGGAUCUGCCAUUGGAACCACACCGCUCACACUGGCACACAACUAAUCUGCAAGGGUUUAAAAGGAGUAGGUGAGCUUAACAAGCUCAGUGAAUGCUCAAAAUAACCAUAAUGUACACACAAUAUGAUAGGUUAAACAAGAGCAUGUUACAACACAUUCACAACCAUAUUCUAAUAAAGUCAAAAUAACAUAUUCACGUUUCAUUAAGUCAUAAAACUAACAUAUACUCCUACAUGCAAUUAUACUCAACUCACUUAUAUAUAAUUCAUUUAGCAAUAAUUCAUCAAGACUAAAUGACGUAUACAUGCUUUAAUAAUCCACAAGUCUAGUAGAUAUAUUCAUAUGCAUUCACAAGUUAAAUGGAAACGAUCCAAAUCACAAUUACAUACACAAUUUAAUAAAAGAACAUACUAACACUUUCAUGAAACUUAAAUUGACUCAUUUAGCACAUUAUUUACAUAUUUAUGCAUCCAUAUCACAUCAUAUUAUAAAAAAAAAAACUAAGAACACAUUUAAACGAUAAUUUGCAUAGCAACCACAUACUCAUUUAGGCAUACAUCACAUUAUACAUAUAUAUAUUAAGAUAAUUUGGCACUUGAGGCUAUGAAACAUAAAAUUGGGCUCUACCACCACACAUCGGAUACACGGAUCUCCAACACACCAAAUGACUCAUAGAGUCAAACAUAUCCCAAAGUUGAAACAUAGAGCUAACACUCUCCAACACACUAAAUAACUCAUAGAGUCGAACAUAUCCCAAAAGUGAAGCAUAAAACUAACACUCUCCAACACACCAAAUAUGUCCCAUUGAUGAGUUUAGCUCACAUUCCUUCAUCUCUCUAACAUGUCUUAGGGCUUCAACGCUCAAAUCACAAAACACAUAUAGGUGAGUACUCACAAUUCUAUGGUAUACCAACUAUAUCCAAUGGUCUCAUAAGGUUACAAGGCCAAAAUAUCAACAAUUACACAAUUUUAAUUAUUGAUUUAAUGCACAUCAUCUCUGUUCAUAUUCAUCAGUUCACAUCACAAACUUGUACACAAUGCAUGCUUAUCGAAUUCACAUUUAAUUGCACUUAAAGUGCCACAAUAAUGAUCAUUGAGCCAUAACGUAUCCAACCAUAUAUAAGUGCAUUAAAAUUAGUUUAUCACAUACAUAAUCUGUUAUAUUAGCAUCACAUUCCAUAAUUCAACACAUACGUACUUACCAAUUUUUGCACAUUUUCACUGCAAAUUUAUAUUGCUAACACAACAUCAUCACUAUCAUUCGACAUAUUUAAUAUUCCCACAACACAAUACAAUUCACAAUAGUCAUCACGCACGUCUCAUAUCACAAUAUCGCAUCAUAAUAAUCAAUCCAUUAAUAUUCUCAUAAUCACAUAAUUCACCAAAAAUAAAACAAGGGAAAUAGAAAACUUACACUCAGAACUUAAGAUAGGGUUUAGGCUAUUCCUAAGCUCCCAAUUAACACUAUGAAUCGUGUCUACUAGCAGUUAUUCCAAACACUCACCGAUUAUGCUUUCGCCAAAAAGCCAAAAGCUUAAACUAGCUUUUCCUUGUCUUUCGCCUUGCUCGAAGAAGGUCCUAAUGAUUCUGAAGCCUUACCAAAUUAAAUCACACAAUAAACACAAUUAACAUUCAACUAAAGACUCACCAAAAUCAUCUAAAAACACAAGCCUAAGUUAAGUUCUCAUGUAACCGAAACCUUUAACAUAGAAAACUUAAAAUUUGAAUAUCUCGGUCUAUACUUAAGAUUUUCACCUAAAACCAGUUUCGUUCAUCUUAUAAUUCACCUAUGAUUAAUUCCCAACCUUUAAACUACAAUAAAAUACUCAAUUCAUGUUAUCGAAAUUUUGGACAUGUUUAUGGCUAUUUUCACAGAAAUUUAUUAAAACUUAAGAAAUCUUUAUCGAAACUUCAAAAUAAUUUUAGAAACCUUCUAAUCAUGUUAAAACUAAUUAAAAAACACUUUGAAACUAUGUUUUUAUCCAAAAUCCCGAAAUCCACCAUUAACGAGUCAAUUUUUUACUUUUAUUCAAAACAUGCGAUUUAAUGGCUAAAAACUUAGUUUUAAAGACUAAAUAACAUUUAAAACUAUUUAUGAGUUGAAUCGUUACCUUAGACAAUGAAAAAUCGAGUAUUUGAUUGAAAACCCAAAAAACUCACAAGCUUGACAAUGAAGGAAUCUAUGGCAUUUUUGGGUGUCUUCUUGGAUUUUAUGGUGAUAUUUGGCUUGAGCGAUGAUAGAAAUCAAGAGAAUUAAGGUUGAAGAACAAAAACUAGAAGAGAUGAGCUUUGGGAGCAAGGGACGGCUAAAGCAUGAAAAUGGAGAAGACUAACGUGAUAUGUGGGAGGUGAUUUUAGGUUGAUUUUUAAAAUUUGGUUUAAUUGCCCCUUAACAACUCACAAUUUUGACCCUUUUACAAAUCAAUCCUUUUUCUAAAAUUAAAGGUUUCUAAAAUACUUUUCAAAAGUUGAUUUGACCUUUUAAAAAUCAUAAUAAAAAAAUAUUACCGAUAUACCAUGUCGUAAAAUUCUAAACACUCUAUGACUAAAAUUCUUAAAAUACCUCUAAAACUUCUAGGCCCAAUUUUGGGGUGUUACAAUUCUCCCCUUCUAAAAAGAAUUUUGUCCUUGAAAUUCCCUGCUACCACAUCACUUGCUUAAUCGCUAAAUAUGGUAUCCUAAUUUUAAACCAACCAUAACACUUUCGCUGUGCACUUUGAUACUAUUCUCUCUAACUUCUUACAACUUUUCUUAAAGAUCUUAUCCACCACCACAAACCAUUCUACGAUAAAUUUGCUAACAAAUUCCUCUACUUACUAUGACACUCUCGUCUAAAGAACUUGUAAUUGUUGUUCCAAAUCUAACAGUCUCUAUCGAGAUUCUCUACUUAAUAGCUAAAUCGGUUCAAAAUUAUGAAGGCAUAGAACCUAAGUCUACUAACAAGAACAAAAUUAUUUAUUACAAGGCAAAAAUACCCGUAAUCUCGUUGACCGAAUCUAAUAAUCUAACAUUCACAAACAAACAAACAAACAAACAAACAAACAAACAAAUAAAGGUGUGAGUGGCAGGGGAAAUGAUCCAAGUCUCAUUCCUUCAAGUAAAAUUUAGGAUUAAAGGCAAUGUGUUCCCAUUCCUACCCCACAUAUUUUAAAUAAUCGGGUCAUAUUUUAAAUUAGAACAUGCCAAAUAUACUUUAAAUAAUCUUGUAAUAAUAAUUAAACAUGCAUAAGGUCCAUUUAGCAAAAUCUCAAAAUUGACCACGUAGGUAUCGAUACUAAAGGUGAGGUAUUGAUAAUUCUUUCAAGUGGUAUCGAUACCGCUUAGAAAAUCGGUACCAAAACAACAUUCUGUUUCUCAUCCAAAAAUCAAAACCUGGAAAAUAUCAAUACAAUUGAAAAAGUAACGAUAAAAUUACCCCAAGUAUCGAUACUCCUGAUAGGGUAUCCAUACCAAUUUACGAUUCUGACUUCCUACACAUUUCAAAAUUAUAGAGGUAUGGUUUUUAUGCAAAAUCCCAAAAUCCACCAUUAACGAGUCAAAUUUCGGCUUUUAUUCAAAACAUGUGAUUUAAUGGCUAAAAACAUAGUUUUAAAGACUAAAUAACAUUGAAAACUAUUUAGGAGUUGAAUCGUUACCUUAGAUGACGAAAAAUCAAGUGUUUGAUUGAAAACCUGAAAAACCCACAAGCUUGACAAUGAAGGAAUCUACAGUGUUUUUCUUGGAUUUUAUGGAGAUAUUUGGCUUGGGUGAUGAUAGAAAUCAAGAAAAUUAAGGUUGAAGAGAAAAAAGUUGAAGAGAGGAGCUUUGGGAGCAAGGGACAGCUAAAGCAUGAAGAUGGAGAAGACUAAUGUGAAACUUAUAGGUGGGGGAUGAUUUUAGGUUUAUUUUUUAAAAUUUAGUUUAAUUGCCUCUUAAAAACUCACAAUUUUGACUCUUUUAGAAAUCAUUCAUUUUUUUAAAAUUAAAGUUUUCUAAAACAAUUUUUAAAAAAUUUAUUUGACCUUUUAAAAACCAUAAUAAAAAAAACAUUACUGAUAUACCAUGUCACAAAAUUUCGAACACUCUAAGGCUAAAAUUUCUAAAAUACCCCUAAAACUCCUAGGCCCAAUUUUGGGGUGUUACAUCUAUUAUUUCCAAAAUUUGAUGCGCCAAACAUAUUAACAUAAAUGUAAUGUCAUGUCAACUUAUUAUUUUCACAUAUUACUCACUAAAAAUCCAGUUGAUGAAUUACUGACUGUCAUUUACGUUAAGAUUGAAAUUUCAAAAUUCGAAAAGUAUAAAGACUUAGAAUCAUUCAAAUGGAGAAAAUGAACUAAAUCUAAAAUUGUACACAUGGUAUAGGACUAGUAAAUGAAUUUGAUCAAACGAAUUUAACUGCUACUGUUUGGCCGAGAAUAAAAUUACAAAUUUUGAAAAAUACAAAAAAAAAUAAAAGUAAUCAAUUUGAAAAACAUAAAGAUUAAAAUUGAUUAAAUAAAAAUAUAUAAAUAAAGUCCACAACUUUGAUAAAGUAUAAAAAAUAAUAUCAUAAUUUAACCUUUCCAAAAUGCAUGGAAAUCUUACUUCAAAUAAUAUGUGUAGAUUCUUUAAAACAAUAUAUGUGUACACUAAUCACAUAGCUAUUACUCUAUUAAUUAAAGACAUGUAUGUAAUUCCGAAACUAAAGUCAUGGCAAAUAUUGAAAUAAAUACUUAAAAGAAAAACUGUUAGCUUCUAAAUUUUUAGAAGAAAAGAAGUUAGAGGGAGAAUAAUUUCUAGUAAAUAUUGAUUUAUGAAAUUUAGAUUUUGUUUUUCCAAGUAAUUAGUAUUAUUGUUGUUGUAAUACCAUUACAGAUUAGAAUCACUCAACAUAAGAAUAAUCAAGAUUAUAAAACUUAAAAAAAAAAAAAAACUAAGAUUAUAAACUACAUGGUUGGAAAACCAAAUCAUUUUUUCAGUUCCUUGUUUUUUCCUUCUUUUUAAAAAAAAUUACUUUAUUUUUCCUAGUAAAAAGAAAAUUUUGGGCUUUUAUAGGGAAUUGGCUAGGGUUUUAUAGGAAAAACUUGGAUUUUUAUAGAAAAAACCAUUUUUAUCUUUUUUAUUUUUUAUUUUAGAAUUAAUUUAGUUGUUUUCCAAAGAGAUGAUUUUUACAGAGAAAAAAUUAGUGUUUUACAGGAAAAACUUGAGUUUUUUUUAUAAAGAAUUGAGUUAUAGGAAAAAUUUGAGUUUUAUCAUUGCAGUUGAAUAACUCAAUUUUCGGUAUACACUCAAGUUUUUUUUAAAUAAAAUUAAUUCUAAAAAAGAAAAGAGUGACCAAAAUAAAAACAUUAUUAAAGUUGAGUGACUAAAAUGAGUGUACAAUAACAUUGCCUAACCUAAAUUAACAACGGAAGACUAAAAUGAAAAUAGUUUGUAAUGACAAUGCUCUUCUUGCAUUUUUUUAGUGCCUAAAAUAAAAACUUAUGAAAAUUGGAUGGUAACCCAUAAAUUUCCCAUCAUAAAAUUUCUUUAUUAAUUUACUUUUGCAAUUUUUAUUGAUUUACUCGUGACUUUUCAAUAUAUAUAUUUCAUUUUUUAUUUUUAAAAGAUAAUUAGUGAUGUCCACGGAAUCAAUUAAAAAUGUAACAUCCCGAAUUUUAGCUUAAUGGGAAUGCAAAAUUAUUCCAAAAAUCAAGGAAUAGCUUAGGGGUUAAAAGAAAAUUAUGAAAGUAUGGAAAUUAAAUUAACCAAGUUCGGUUCCUUUCUCUUUUUAGGAAAAUUCCCCUUUUUCCGUUGUGUUAAGGUUCUAUGCACCACACUAUGGUGAAUUCGUUUUUUCAUGACUAAGAUUCUUUUGAGUUUGUGAUUGUUUUUUUUUAAUAGUGUUAUUUUCAUUAUUCGAAUUUGAGUCUUUUCGCUUAGAGGGUAACAAUUUUAUUAUUAUUGCAUUUAAGAUUUAUUAGUGUAAGAAAGACAUUUUUAAUAAAACACAUUUCUUAAAAUAUUAAUAAUUAUUGAUAGAGUGUACAACAAAGGGAGGAGAUAGAGUGAAGAUGAGGAAGAAUAAAGAAGAGUAUAUGGUAGUGUCAAGGAGAUCGGUCCAACUUAGGAGUUGGAGAGCUAGAAAUGGACAAGAGGAUAGGCUAAUUACUAGAAGGAGAGAUUACUCAAGACAAGUUCAAGGCUUAAGAAGGUGACCCUUUCUUCAUUAUUGAAAAGGUAUUUAUAGGAGAGAUUCUCAUAUACUGUAGUGCAAAGUGGCAGGCCGUUACUACUGACAGUGGACGCAUUAGCAUAGUGUAUGCGAGUAGCAAACGUGCUAAUCCCAAAUAAUAUGAGAUUGUUAUUCACUAGUAGGACCCGGUUGAUGUUUGAAAUGUGUUCACAAUUGAAUAAAUAUUUGUAUUCAAAAACUGGGUACCUAAUGAUAUAGGUUGUUGAGUGGGUGACUUCACUAAGGAAGCGGAUGGCUAAGGCCUUCUUCUAAAGGGAACAAAUGGUCAAGAGGUCUUGAUGACAAGGGGUAUACAGGUUGAUUUUGGUGGCUUAUUAUAUUGACAAGGGUCUAAGUGCCGAGAUAUAACAAUAAUGAUAUGUAUUUGUUUAUUAAAUUGAGCCUCUUUCUUCAAUUUAUCUCUAUUUAUUUGGUAAGGAAGUAUCAUAUGAAACAACAUAGAAACAAAAUCUCAAAAUUUUCCCAUUAGAUUCAAUCACAUUAGUCCUAUAAUAUCAUCUGGAAUCAAACAACAGUUUCUAGUAAUAAGCAAGAAAACAGACUGAAAAUGCGACCACAAAUCCAAUACUUUCAAUUGUUGUCAUCAGUAGUAGUGUUUGAUGUAGCAGAAAUGUGCAUUUUGAGCUUCUCUAACUCCAAUCUCAGCUUCUCAUUCUCUAACUCCAAUCUCAGCCUCUCAUUCUGGUGCAACAAUUGAUCUUCUUCGUUGAGCACUUGAAUCAAUUUCAAGUUCUGUUCCUUUUCACGCUCUAACUCCAAUCUCAGCCUCGCAUUCUCCUUCUCCAAUUCAUCUUCUCUGUCGAUCGUUUUAGCUCCAAGCUGGUUAAUUAUUUUCUUCACCUUCUCCUUUUGAUCAUCCAAACUAGUCAUCAAUGCCAUCAGUUCGUUCACCAUUGUUUCUGCAUUAACUUCAUUGCCUCGGCCACCUGCAGCCGGUUGUUGUUCUUCACCAUCAUCGUCACAUGGAAUCACCGCUUGUGUUGACUCCACGGGGAAUACAGGGUCAUGCACUUCAAACUCCUCGUCUUCAUUACCGUUCCCUUCAAUUAUCGUUGACAUCCGACGAUUAAGGAGCAGACCAGGCGCCCAGUCCCCAUUAGGAUCACAAUCCACACCUUCCUCAAGAAUCUUGCUUGCUGCCCUAAACCUUUCUUCAACACUAGGCAAUCCACGCAGCAAAUUCUCCGCAAGAAACUCCGAAGUACCAUUGCAACUCUCAAAGAAAGGAUGUUUCAAAAGCUCGUCUGCAGAGGGUCGGUUUGCAGGAUCUUUACGGAGACAAGAAGCAACCAUGUCUUGAAAAGUUUCUGAAAACUUCUUGGUGGAGUCAAGAGCAGUUAUACCGAAAGACCAUAUAUCAGCUUUGAAACUAUAAUCUUUAUGUGAAUGAAUCACCUCUGGGGCAAUCCAAUAUUGCGAAAAUGGCGAAGAACCUAAUCUGUAAACCGAACUCCACUUAUAGAACGAUGACGAAACGCCGAAAUCCGCAAGCUUAACACGUCCGUUAUCGUCCAACAAGAUGUUACUGGCCUUUAUAUCUCUAUGCAAAUGCCCUUGGCUGUGAAGAUACGACAAUGCAGUCAGGGUUUCUUUGAGAAUAAUGGCAAUGCAUUGCUCUUGUAUGCCAUUGGGGGAAGAAGAUGAGAUGAUGGACUCUAAAGAACCGCCGGACAUAAAGGGCAUAACCACCCAGAGACGGUUGCCGGCGGUGAAGGAACAAUGAAGGUUGAGGAUAUUGGGGUGGGAAAGAAGCGACGAGGUGUUGGUUUCACGUCCGACAAAGUUGCGGAAAUCGGCGUUGGACUGAUCAAGAUCGAUGGAUUUAAUGGCAACAACAGUUGAAUUGAUGGGAAGACAUUGGGCCGUAUAAGCUUUAGAACAAACACCAGCACCGAUUUCAGCGGUGAUGUUGUAAGAGUUGGAAUCUAAAGGGAACUGAAGCUUGGGAUGAUCUUCUUGUUCAUACGCCAUGAGCUUCUUUCUUUCUUUGAGAUUGGGUUUUGUGGGAGGAUUCUUGAAGACUAUAGAUGAGGGAAAGAGAAGGGGUUUUAGAAAGCUUUUCUUGUAAGGUUUUCAAAAGAAAGAAGCCAAUUUACAAUUGCUUGAAAAUUUACGAUUGCUCCAUCCUUAUAUCUAUAAUCUUUGAAGUAAUAAAAAAUUCCAUUGAUUUUUUAAAAUAAUUAUAAAUAAUUUUAAAAUGUGAAAAAAUAUAUUAUAGUAGUUAUAUUAAAAUAAAAGUUGUGAUAUUGUAAACUUAUUUGAAUUUCUAUUUUAAUUUCAGGAUUAAAUUGAACUUCGGUUUGAUAAUAGGAAUUAAUUUGAAUUUUCAUCUUUUAAGUGAGGGACUAAUUAUGUAAUUAAAUAUUUUAUUUUAAAGUUUAGUUAAAUUAGUUUUGUAUGUUGGUAGUUUUAUUAUUAUUAUUAUUAUUAUUUAAAAUAAGAUUUUAUGUUAUUAAAUUUUCUAAAGAUAAUUAUUAGUAAAGGAUGAUUAUAAUUAUUAGAAUUAUACUAGGACUGUAAUACCCCGAUCCGAAGUGAUCUAGUAAAUUAUUUUUUUUAUUUGAGUUGAUUUAUAUGAAAAUCAUUCAUUUUUUUUUAGAAAAAUAUUCAUUAAUGAAACGACUUUACUUAGUAAUCCAAUUACAAUGUUAUUAAAAUGAAGUUUUUUGAGAAAACAGUUAAGGUUUAAUAAGACUUAUCAAAACUUUAAAUAUUUUACAAAGUAUACAUUUAUCAGAGUAUUAACAAAAUAUAAUGCUUAAAGAUUACUAAGCUAAAUAAUCCCAAACCACAAUUAUAAAAGCAUUAAAUAAUUAAUAAAUUUACAAUAUGUUGUUUCUUUCUGGAUUAAACCAUAAUUCCUAAUGUUUCAAUUUAAUUAAUCAUACAUAAUAAUUAAAUUAGAUCCCACACCUGAUUGAAAACAAAAAAAAAACUCAAUUUUUGGAUGAAGAAAUCAGAAAUCACCGGGAGGAAAGGGUUGCAAUUGAAAACCUCGAAACCUUGGGUUGAUUAAGGUGGUUCGACAAUAGAGAAGAAUAAGAGAGAAUUUUGAGAGCUUUUCUUGAUUUUUUUUCUAAAUAUGAGUUCUAGGUUUUGAAAAGAUUGACUAUUUAUAAAACUUUCUUUCCCUAAUUGAAAUAGAUUUAGGAAUUCAUUUAGAAUUAGGAUUUGCCUAAGGACUAAAUUUAAAAAAAUGGUUUUUGGUCUAGACUAGUUUGAAAAUUCGAUACUUUAUGAGGGUAAAAAUAAGAAAAUAAAAUUUUUUGACUGAAAAGUGCACAAGAAGUUUUGAUCUUGGGAUCAAAGGGAAAAUUAAGUCUUAACCAUUGAAUCAACGAGCUCAUUUUUAUCAUAAGUCUUCAAGAAAUUGUUUUUAAAGGCUAUGGCCAAGCAUUAGGGGAAAUGGAAAAAAAUCAACAAAAGAGUGCAAUUUAACAAGUUUGAACCUUGGACCUUAGCUUGCCUAACACCUUACCAUUAAGCCUAGUGGCCUAUUCCUAUUAAUACCUUAUCAACAAUAAUUUUUAAGGCAUUUUAAGUUCAUUUACCCUACUUAUUUUAUGCUUUAAAAUCUAAAAUUUAUCCUCAUUUCUUCUAUCCCUAAUUUUGGGAUGUGACAAAUCUCCCUCCUUUAAAAAAGUUCGUCCUUGAAUUUUAACUUACCUGAUCCGAAACAGUAAGGGUAUUGUUGACGAAUCAACUCCUUAGGUUCCCAUAUUGCUUCUUUGGUUCAAUGGUUUUGCCCUAAAAUCUUAACUAGAGGAAUUUGCUUAUUUCUUAGAGUUCUAACCUCACUAUCUAUUAUUCUAAUUGGUUCUUCUUCAAAAGAUAAGUCUGGUCGGAGCUUGACCUCUUCAAUGGGAACGAUAUGGGAAGGAUCAGAGCGAUAGCGUCGUAACAUGGACUCAUGGAACAUAUUGCGAAUUUGAUUUGACUCAGGAGGUAGUUCAAGUUGGUAAGUUACUGGGCCAAUUCGCUUCUGUACUUGGUAAGGACAAAUAAAACAAAGACUCAAUUUUUUUCCGAACUUUAGAAAAUUUUCUAAGGUAGACCUUUAAGAGGAGCUUGUGAUGACAUCGACAACAUCCUUAUCCUUUUGCCACAUGAACUAAAGCUAGUUGCCUCACUUUUGCACGAUUCGUACCUUGCCUUAGCGCUCUGUGGCCUCAAUUUUCAUCGUUUCGAUUGGGAUCACUAUUUCCUUAUUUUUGGGAUCGAUUUUGGCCCUAACUUUGUGGUUGAGUGGGAUUGUUCCAAUGAGGACAAUCCUUUAUUUGAUGUUCCUUUGAUCCGCACUUUAGACAAGCAUCGAUCUUUUUUCAACACUCACCUUUGUGGUGUUUCUCACAAUAUUGGCACUUUGGAGCAUGUUUGUCGGUGGACUUGAAUUGCGGCCUAGCACUUUUUAUAGGCAUGUGGUCCAAAUUAUUUGAACUCAAAUCUCUUUGGUUUAGUGCCUCUUGCCUCUUUUCUCGCUUUGUGCGUUUAAUUGCUUCUAAAAUUUUGGUCUUUUCGACCAAAUUUUCGAAAAUUCUUUCCUAGAGGAGUACCGUCUGUACUUUUAGGUCAAAUUGUCGAACCUUGUGCUUUUAUCUUGCUUUGUCGCUACCAUUUCAGGAGUAUAAUGAAUCAAUCUUAGAAAUUCAACUUCGUACUCUAAAAUUAACAUAUCUCCAUGUUUCAAUUCGAUGAAUUCAUGUCUAUAGGGCUUCAACAUAUCGGGGACCUACAUACUUUUUCUGGAAAGCAUCUUGGAAAUAGUUCCAAGAUAUUCAUUCCACAAGCAUUCAUCUAACAAUAGCCUGCCACCAUCUAUAGGCUUUGUCCUUUAAUAAGGACACGACUCAUUUUAACUUUUGCUCCGGAGUGCAGUCUGGAUCCUCUAGAAUUCUUUACAUUGUUUCCAUCUAAUACUUUACUAUAGUGGGACUUGUUCCGGUGAAUCUUUUGGACAAUUCAACCCCAUUUACCUUAAGUUUUUUUUAACAACCGUCUUUAUGUUACCAUUAGUCGAUCCGACGACCUUUUGAGGGACUUUCAGCAUAGAUUGAGACACCGCAUCAUCUCCAUUGGUUCCAUCAUUUUGAUUUCUCGUUCCAUAUCUCCAUUCUCAUGACCUCCACCAUCAUUGGCAGUAGAAUUUUCUAUCUAAUCCACCCUAUAGGUUGGGUUUUCACCUUGAAUAGUGGGCAGUUUAAGGGUGCAACGUUACACGGUCUACACCUACCGCGUCUACCUUGAGUGUUCAUAAUGGUAUUUUAUGAAAAUCUAAAAUUUCAAGCAAUUAAUACUUAAGUCAAGUUUUUAGUUUACACUAUAUUUUUUCCUAAGGUUUUUUUACCACUUGAAAGUUUUCUAUAGUAUCUGGAAUCGAACUUCUUGGACUAGUUUUUUUAAUAAAAACCUACUGUGGCUUUUUUUCUAAAUUUUCCCUAUCAUAAAAAUGAUUUAUUUCUAUGCAUGCAUACUCCUUCAAAAAGUAACAUCGUUAAUGAGGUGUCAUGCACAUAGAAAACAGUACCUUUAGAGGUUUUGUCUCAAGGUCGAAUAAAUUGUAAUUAAAUAGUUUCCUUAGAGUUUGAAUUUGGAGAUAGUAAGUUUUUAUAUUAAGGUUUCUAUUCUAAGAAGUAUUUAUUAAUGCUUAAUAAAGUUAGUCUUUAAAGUUGUUAAGUUAAAAUUUUGUGUUUAGUCUAACCCGGUCCAUUUGUGAUACCUCGUACCAGGAUUUCACGAUCGGGUCGAGUGAGGGUGUUACAUUAAUACUAAAAUAUAGGUUGUAAUAUGAGGAGCAACUUUGGUUAUUCAAGUCUACCCAAAUCAUUGUUUGUGGAGAAAGUGAUUUUAACUUAAAUUUAAAUAUUUUGAUCCAAUUUUAAUAUAGAAAUGAAUUAUAAAAGCUAUCAUAAUUCAAAUCUAUGUAUAAAGUUAAUGUAAUAAAAUUUAUAAUUAAGCUACAAUAGAAAGUAGAAAAUUCCUCAGACAGAUUUUAAAAAAUCAUUUAGAGGAUAUUAUAUAUUCUAUUUUUUUUAACAUAAUUUGACUGUGAAGGAGAAUAAUGUGAAACCUAAACAAACCUUUGAAUUUCACAUCAUGCAAAUAUUUGUUUUUACGUAAAGUAUUUAUGGUAAAAGGAGAUACUAAUAUCAAAUGGUUGUGAAUACAAAUGUUAUCAUCCAACUCUAAUUUAAUUGGGAUUUAUAUUAAAAGGGAAAGAAUAGAUCGAUUUUACUUACUUCUUAGUCUCUUGGACUGGUGUCACUACGAGUUCCACACCAUCUUGCUGGGUGAAUUCACUACAAAGUCCUAAACUUUAAGAUGUUCUAAUUGAGUUAUCUAUGUAUUAGAAUAGUUUAAAUCUAGUUUCUUUUUUGUCAAUCUACUCAUCAACUUUGACUUUGAAUGUCAGUUUAACAUGAAACAUAUUUAAAACAUGUGAAUUACAUUAUUGAUACAUAUAUACUCAUCACGUGGCAAGCUUAUAUCUAAUAUGUUAAAAGAAAACAUUGCCAAUAAAAUUAAGGAAGACUUUUAAAGACCAAAUAUAAGCUAGGCUAACAGGAUGAUUUGAUUCAUAUAAUAUUGAUACUUCGAGGUGAGGAUGAAGCUAGAAACUUAGGUUUUUUUUUUUGGAGGGGAAUUAAAAAUUAGUUACUUUAAUUAUAAAUUUGCACAUUAAUUUCUACUUAUCUCAUCAUUAAUUAAAAAUUAACUAUUUAAGUAUUUAUACAUAUUUGACUCAUACAUCAUUAUUUUUAGGCUUAAGGCUGCAAAAAGACCCUCAAAUUUAAAAAAAAAAAUUAAGCCCCUACUUUUUUUUUCACUCAUUUGGGUACUUGAACUUUCAAAAUGCAUCAAAAAGACCCUCAAACUUUUUCAAAAAAAGCAAUUAAGCCCAUGCUUUUAUUUAAAAAAAUAAAAAAAAUUAUAAAAAAUUAAAAUCAAUAAUAGAUAUAAAUAUUAUUAAAUUUUAAUAAAAUAUUAAAAUAUUAAAAAUUAGAAAAAAAAUAUAAAAAUCGUAAAAAAUAUAAAAAAUUGUAAAAUUUUAUAAAGAUUGUAAAAAAUAUAAAAAAUAGAAGUAUAAAAAAUUAUAAAAUUUUAUAAAGUCAUAAGAAAAUUAUACUAAAUUUAAAGAAAUAUAAAUUUCAUAAAAAAAUUUAUAAAAAUUAUUGUACCAAAAAAAACAUUUUAUAAUUUUUCUAUAGCAUUGAUUUUUAUUUUUUAUCAUUCACCACAUGUUACGCUGUGUUGCGACAUGUGAUGACUUUAAUUGAAAAACUAGAGGUUGUUAACUGUAAUGAUUAACAAUUAAAGUUAAUUGUUAAAGGGACUUUUUGAUGCAUUUUUUAUUUUUAUAAAAUUUUACAAUUUUUUUAUUUUUUAUGAUUUUAUAAAGUUUUUUUUUUCUAAUUUUUAGUAAAUUUUAAAUAUUUUUACAUUUUUAUUAAAAUUUAAUAAUUUUUAUAAAACUUAUUAUUUAUUAUUAUUUAUAAUUUUUUUCUAAUUUUUAAUAAGAGCAUGGGCUUAAUUGCUUUUUUAAAAAAAUUUGAAGGUUUUUUUUUGAUGCAUUUUGAAAGUUCAAGUACCCAAUUGAGUGGGAAAAAAAGCAGGGCUUAAUUGCUUUUUUUUUUUGAAGAAGAAGUUUGAGAGCCUUUUUGAUGUAUUUUAAAAAUUUAAGUACUCAAUUGAAUUAAAAAAACGGAAAAGCUUAAUUGUUUUUUUCUUUUUAAGUUUAAAGGUUUUUUACCCCUUAAACCUUAUUUUUAUUAUAUUUACCUAAGUUUCAUAUUACCAACAAUCUUCCUCUUAGAUCAUGUAUAUACUAUUCUUUUACUCAUGCAAUGCUUCGGUUUGGAUGUAUGUAUUAACUGAAAAAGUAUGUCUUUUGUUCAUACUCUAUAUUAAUUAAAUUAAGAUUUUAUAUUAAUUUAAAUAUGAAAUUAAUAAAAACAACCUAUUUUUUUAUAUUAAAAUAUAUAAACCACAUAUUUAAAUUAAUCAAUAACCUUAAAAUGAAAAAUUAUAAAAAAAGUGUGAAUUAAAUAAAUGAAUAAAAUUGUUUGGACGCCAUUAUCACCCCAAAAAAAAGUAUUAACUGGUGGUGUAAACACCAAUUCUUUGGCAAAAAGUAUUUAUAUAAAAAAAUUAAGAAAGUUAAUAGAAAGAUCAAAAUUUUAAUUGUUUUGAGUUAUUAAAUUGGAAAAUAAAUCAGUAAUACAUGUUAAAAUUCUUUAUAAAAUAUUAAUAUUUAUUUGUUUAUUGACACAAAUUUCAAAAUAAUUACUAAAUUAGUAGUACAUAUGAAAAUUUGUUUAAAAUUAUUAUUAUUUAUUUAAACAAUUUGGAAAAAUUUUAUUUUAAAAAUGGGUCCUACUUUCUAUAAUAGUAAAAAAGAAGUGAAGAUGGCAUGUAGUCAACACUAACACUUUUUAGAAUUCAACUCAUCACAAAAUAAUGUUUUCUAUAGUUAAAAUUUGCUAUUAAUCCCUAUAUUUAGUAAAAAUUAUGGAUUUAAUCUUUAUACUUUAUUUGUUAUUUUUAGUCUUUAUACUUUUUAAAAUUUAAAAUUUUAGUCAUCACCAAACAAUAUGUAAUAUCAUAUCAAUUUAUUAUUUUCACAUAUUACUCAUUAAGAAUCUAGUUAAUGGAUUACCAACUAUUAUUUGUGUUAAGACUGAAAUUUCAAAAUUCGAAAAGUAUAGAGACUUAAAGUUAUUCAAUUGGAGAAAAUGAACUAAAUCUAUAAUUAUAUACAUGGCAUAGGAUUAUAGUAUAGGAUUAGUAAUUGAAUUUGACCAAACAAAUUUAACUGCUAUUGUUUGGUUGGGAAUAAAUUUUUAAAUUUUGAAAAGUACAGAUGAUAAUAAUAUUUACCAAUUUGAAAAGUAUAAAGACUAAAAUUGAUUAAAUAAAAGUAUAUAAAUUAAAUCUACAACUUUCACAAAGUAUAGACCUUCCUGAAAAUCUUACUUCAAAUAAUGUGUGUUGAUUUCCUAAAACAAUAUAUAUGUGUACACUUAUCACAACUAUUAUUCUAUUAACUACAGACAUGUAUGCAAUUUCAAAACUAAAAUGAUGACAAAUAUUGAAAUAAAUACUUAAAAGAAAAACUAUUGGCUGAUAAAAUUUUAGAAGAAAAGAAGUUAAAAAGGGAGAAGAAUUAUGAUGCGUUGUAAAAUUAUCUAAAAUUUUUACUAAAACAAGUGCAUCUAUCAAUUAAUAGUAUAGUUACGGUAAGCAAAUAUAUCAUUCCCACGAACACUAAAAGUACUAGUAAUUACCAUCUUUCUAUUAUUUAACAGAAUAAUUCAAGUGAUUGAAUAAAAACUAAAAUUAACUAAAGAACAUGACAAAGAACAAAACACGAAAAUAAUCUAUUAACAACCAAGAAGCGGAACAAUACUCAGGAAAGAAUCCACCUAGAUUUCAUCUAUCACUAUCAAUCUAAAUUACACAAUUUCUUUACUUAGUACCUUGAUCCGUAGAAAUCCCUAAAUUAUGCUAAUAUCUCUUUCAAGCAUGAGAGCAAUUGACUUUAGGUUAAUUAAUUAAAAUUUCUUUCUAAUUAAAACCCUUAUUAUCGCAUUAACUCGUGCUAUGAAUUCCCUUAUUAGAUUUGACUCUAAUCCAAUAGAUUUAUAUCAUCCUAUUUCUAGGAUUACAUGCACUCCACUCAAUUACGCAAAUUCUACUCUUAAAUAAGGAUUACUAAUCUAGAGAUAUCAAACCAAGAAUUAAACACACAUAACUGAGAAAAAGAAACUAAGUAUUUAUUGCAUAAAAUAAAAAUCAAAUGACAGGAUACAUCAUAGGGUUCAUCUACCUUAGGUAUUUAGAAAAUUAGUUCAUGCUUGAAAAUAGAAACAUCCAAGAUACAAUAUAACCGAAAGAAAUAAAGAAACUCGAGAUAACUUCCUAAUAAAUCAACUGAGAAUCUUUAAUCUUAACGGAAAUCUGCUUCAAAGUUGGCUUCAAUGGUGUUUUUUGAGUUGUUUUCUUGAAUAUUCUCUAACGGCUCAGUCUUAUAUUAUUAUUUUUGUCAUAUAUAUAUUUUAGAAUGCCGAAAACCUAAAAAACACGAUUUUUUGCAAUUCAAUGUGUAAUCUUGUGAAAUCGACUAGGCCGUGUGGAAUGGAUCAGCCUGCGUAGCUCCUACAACUUUCUUUGAUGCUCCAGUUUUCGCUCAUUUUUCACUCCUUAUGUUCCUAAGUGCUUUAUUAAGCAUUAAAACAUGAAUUGAAAGUAUUAGAGGUAUAAUAUUCACAAUUAACAUCAUAUAAUCACCAAAAAAUGCAUUAAGAAUGAGGUUAAAACAUGUUACUUUUAGCAAUUAUCAAAUAUCCUCACACUUAGGCAUUUGCUUGUCCUCAAGCAAAAUUGUAAAUCCAUAUUCAAGUUAGCUUCGCUAAAUUUAUUGUUCCCACCGAUAAUGUCUUAGGAUAAUCUACAGGUAAUCAUGCAUUGGAAAUUUAAACAAAAAUGACACUAAAGAACACAAGCAAUCCAAGUAGAGAUUUUUAAAGCAUAAAAACAUAGACGUCUCACCUAUCUCAAUAAUUAGUCGAAAUUCAUACUUUAUAGGAAUGAACACCCUUACGAAGGUUCAGUCAAAGCACUAAAAGUGUUUAAGGUUCAAGUAAUAUGCACUUAAGUGUCGAGUAAGAAAUGUUAUUACCAUAAGCUUGGUUGAAAAUCAUAUCUACACCACCAUAGAAAUGAGAUGACACACUAAUCAAGAGGUUUUUACGAGGUUGUAAUAGGACUUAGGUUAAGGGUAUGGAAAAAGGUCAGAAUAAUUGGUUACAAUCGAGAGUCGAGUUGAUCUGUUACCAAAUAAAAAAGAUCAGUUGUUGAAUUACAAGAAUUUAACAUAAAAAAAAAAGAAAUAAAGAGUGGAUAUGAGCUUUUAUACAAAAUAUGCGACUCAUGAUUCAGGCUCAAAAUUUUUUUUCUUUUCUACUUCAUUUUUUUUCACUAAUUUUUUUUAUUUGAGAACAAAGAGAAAAUUUAGUAAUGUAAAUGAUAAAACAUAAUCAGUCAACUAACCAAAUCAAAUCUCAACAAAAAAAAAGAGUAAAUAAAAAGAGUGAUUUACAACCUUAAUGUGGGUUUUCGGGUUAACAUGAAUGGUUGUUGAGUAAAAAAAAUGUGUUAGGAUCAAUUAGGUUCCUAGGGGUUAAUUCAACGGGUAAGUUGUGUAAAAGGUUAAACAUGUUAAAUCCUAAGUGUCUCUAUCAUCUCAGUAUAUCAAAUCAAUAAUGUGGAUUUGAUAUGUAUAACUGAAUCAAGUUCUAGAAUAACAAAUUAAGUUGUCAUACUCAACAAAAAAUAAAAUGAGCAUGAAAAACAAUAUAUGCUCUAUAGGUUCAAAAGCUCACAAAAAAUUAUGGUUUUGAUGUCAAACUUGUAAAUUUAAAAUUUCAAGAUAAUUCUUAAAUUAAGGGAGACAACCUAAAAUAAUAGUUUUUGAAAAACAACUUAUCAUGCUUGGUUCAUUCGUAUAUUAAUGUCUAAAUAAAACAAUGCAUAAAAAAACACAAAUUAAUCCCAAACAGAAUCAAUAAAAACGCCAAAUUAAAAAAAAAUUAACUUUAAUGUAAGGUUUGAGGAAAUUACUUAAAGACAAACAACAAUUUAGGGGAUAUAUCACAUAAACAUGUAAAAUCCUCCCCACACUUAAGAUGUACAUUUUUCUUAAUGUACAAACAAAUAUAAACACAAUAAGAAAAAUAUCAUAAGUUAGGGAGGGAGAGACUGAAAUUGCCAUUUGGACGAUUAUGCUAGAAUAGAGAAAUACAAAAAUGUAAGAGAUCCUAAAUUAAGUACAUGGUUUCGAGCACACUAAUAAGAAAAUAGAAAUAAAAUAAAAUAAGAUACAAAUAUAACAAAAUAGAAAAACAGUCGAAAAAGCCAUAAUAGUAAAGUGCAUAGUAAAAUAAAAUAAAACAUCUAAGUCUGAAAAACAAAAUAAAAACAACUAAAAAGAAAAAGGAAAAGAAAAAUAAAUAAAACAUAAAAUAAAAAAAGUCACUGAUUGGCAUCAUGUACGAAAUUAGGAUCGAGAGGCACAUAUACAACAAGGAUAUCUGGUGAAGAAAUGUGAACAUGUUGGCACAUCUAUUGUAGAGAGGCCCCAAUGCAAUCUUAUUGGCAUUGAAGCUGACUGAAGUGAUUUGAAUGUAGCUGCUCAAGGUGGUCGAUUCACUUUAUCUACCUCUACUCAAGGCGAUCGUUGAUGUUAGAGUGUUGUUGUUGUGUGCGAAAGAUGUCCUCAAGCGUGAUCAAAUGUACAGUAGUGGAGUGACUCACAAGAGGAGUCGAUCGAGCUGGGUCCACAUGUCUAAGUGGAUCAUCAUCCGGGAGAUCCACAUGCUCAUUCUGAGGAUCCGGAUGAAACAAUGUAUACCGGUUUGGACCUACUCUGUGCUAAUGUUAAAUCAUCGGUAUGUGGCUCAUAAUAGAUAAUCCUUACAGGACCAUUUGUCCAAUUAAAGUGAAGGAUAAAGUUGCUCCAGAGUGUCAAGAAGCUCGAAGUACCUCGCCAGACAAGUCAUGUAGGGAUCCAUACAGAUAAGGCUUUUCCUAUUCUAAUCAGACUGGCGGUGACAACAGAGAGCCACACAGUAAGAGACAUCAAUUAGGUGGCGUGUCACCAUACUCCACAGAAAAUAGGCAUUGACAUGUUGGGAAAUGUGCUCAUAUUGUAGUAAACAUGUAAUUUUUUUUAUAUAUUUGAAUAAUGAAUAAAUAAAUUUCACAUUUCAUGUUAUGUCUUUUGUAUUUAUGUUUUUCAUAUUUUGCAUGCAUAACAAAAUUGUAACAAGCAAAUAUUAGGUCACUGAUUGUCUAAGUUCAAAUUGGUGAUAACUGGCAUUGUAAAAAUGUUUACAUUGUGAGAAAGACAACUUACUUCAAUAGAUAAUCUAAACGAGCCCGUAAUCUCGUAAAAGAAUCAAAGUGAGCAUUUGAUUUAAACCCUGAGAAGGAUUAUUAUGUCAUCUACAAUUCCAAUUGAGGAGAUGACUAGCCUUGGCUAUCGGAGCAGUUGACUCCACGGGUAGAGACAUAGAUGUAUUCAUUGGCAAAAUGAUACAUGGGACUGGACCCAAGAUGAAUUAAUUCUAAAUCUGUUUGUGAAUUAAUUCACUUGUGACAUUCAUGGUGUGAUUUACCUUAAUCUUGAGUUAGUCACUGACCAUGCGUAUGUAAUUAAUGUGCUUUGAUAUAAUUGGAGGCUUAUGCUCUAAAGAUGAUCGGGCUGAUAGUCGGUAUGUUGGGUACUUAACUUGUAUAUAGCAUGGCUUUACUUGCAACAGUGGAAUUUAUAGCUCAACUAAAGAGUUAACAAUAUCCUCUAAUUGGCGUUGUGUGGAUUGAUAAAUAUAUAACGUGACCACGAGUUUCUUAUUCUCGAACGAGCAAUUUAUCAUAAUCAUUUGUUGACAGUGGUCAAAUUAAUCAUUAAGAUGACACAAUGGUGACAAUGAGAUAAAAUAAGAUUGUAUUGAGUGAACAGGUUUAACUCAAAGGAAUCAAGAAUAUCAUAUGUCAUUGGACAAAACAGUUGGAUGAAUUACUUUCGUAAAGAGUAUACAAUAACGAGUUUUCAACCAUGGUGCUUCUUGUGGACUAACUCAAUGAUUAAGCAAUUGCGAAUUAUCAGAAUGAUGCUUCUGGACAUGAUUACAAUUACUAAAGCAUAAUUGUAUAUGUCCGAUUGGUCCCUCCGCUAGCUCAACAAAAGCUCGAUCGAACUGCAUUUGAAUUAGAAGUAAAUUUUACGACUUUGGAAAUAGUUUAAUUGAGUCGAUUUAUUUCAUAUGAAAUUAAAUUGGGCGAUCGUAAGAAUUGUUCAACUAGAGAAUUUGAUUACAGAAUUUUCUUGAAAAAAUAAUUUGGAAAAUCUAAGUGAUUUUUGAGAAAACUAAUUUUGAUCAAGUAAAAUUAAAUUAAUCAAAUUGAUUAAAAUCAAUAUGAUAUUUCUGUAAAUUAAUUUUCAAGUCGAACAAUUGGCUCAAUGGGUAAUUGAACUUGAAAUUGGACCUGAGAUACUAAGAUCAAAAAAUUGGUUGAAUUAGGCCUGGUAUGUGAAAUCGGGCCAACGGUCCAACCGGUGGCUAGACCGAAACGAUCGGGUCGUCAUUGGCCCAGACCGAACCGACAAAAUCAAACUAGCUUAAGGUGUCGGGAUGCGACGACAGUAUUCAUUUCUGUAUAAUAUGGUUCAAACAUUUUACUGACAAUGAUUAAUUUCUGCAAAAAGCAACAGGUUUUAAUUAACAAACUGUGUUUUUAAAUAAAAACAUCUCUCUAAGGGUUUCCGCUGCAAAACCAUAAGUUUUAGAAAAUAUAAUCAAACAUCGCUUUCAAAUUAAUAGUUAGAUAAAAUAUGUUUUGAAUAAUCUGGAAUUUUAAGAGUUUGUGAUGAGUUUCAAGAUACACGAAAAUGAAGUUUUCAAUCAUUUAAUGUAACAACUCAAGAUUUGACCAUAAUGUCUAGGCCGAGUUUGGGGUGUUACACUCCAAAUCGAGUGCCAAAUGACAUGCCUUUCCAAAAACUAACCUAUAGGGAGUCAUUCCUAAUGGUGUCUUUAAAGUAGUUCGAUAGGCCCAUAAAGCCUCAUCGAGCCUUUUAGACCAAUCUUUUCUAUUAAGGCGCACCACCCUAUUAAGGAUACAUUUGAUUUCACAAUUCACCCUUUCAACUUGCCCAUUUGACUGUGGAUGAUAAGCAGUAGCAAUUUUAUGCUUCACAUUGUACUUGUCAAGACACCACUUAAGCCACUUAUUUAGAAAGUGAGAUCCUUUAUUGCUAAUUAUAGCUCUAGGAGUCCCAAACCAUGUAAAUACAUGCUUAUGUAGGAAUUGCAUGACUACCUUAGCAUCAUUUGUUGGGUAUGCCUUGGCUUCAACCCACUUGGAUAUGUAGUCCACAGCUACCAAAAUAUAUUUGUUCCUAUAAGAGGAAGGAAACAGGCCUAGAAAAUCAAUGGCCCAUACGUCAAAUAGUUCUACCUCUAAAAUAUUUGUCAAGGGCAUCUCAUUCCUCCUUGAUAUGUUUUCGAUUCUUUGGCAUCUAUCGCAGUUUUUCACAUACGCAUAUGCAUCCUUAAACAUUGGAGGCCAAAAGAAUCCUACUUGUACAAUCUUCACUGCUGUACGAGAACCACCAAAGUAUCCCCCACUCGGAUAUGAAUGCCAGUGGUACAAAAUCUCGUUGAUUUCACUUUCAGCUACGCAUUUUUUUGAUUAUGUUAUCUACUCAUUAUUUAAACAAAAACAAAUCCUUUCAAAAAUAAUACCAACUAUCAUGAAGGAAUUUUUUCCUUUUUUGGUACGUCAUUUCUCGAGGAAUUAUUUCAUAUGCUAAAUAAUUGGCAAAAUCAUCAAACCAAGGUGUUCUAUGGAUUUGACUUACCUCGAAGAUAUGCUUAUCAGGAAAAUUCUCAUUAAUUGGAACAAGUGAAGAAGUUACAACAUAUUAUUCCAACCUCGAUAAAUGAUUGGUUACUUGAUUUUUAACACCUUUUUUGUCUUGGAUCUCAAGGUCAAAUUCUUGGUGCAAAAGUAUCCAUCGAAUUAGCCUUGGUUUAUCAUCUUUUUUCGUGAGUAAGUACUUAAUGGAAGCAUGAUCGAUAAACACUAUAACUUUGGUACCUAUAAGAUAUGAACGAAACUUGUCAAAAGAAAAAACUAUAGCAAAUAUUUUUUUCUCAGUUAUUGUAUAAUUGAGUUGGGCUUUUGUCAAAGUUCUACUUGCAUAGUAGAUAGGGUGAAACACUUUGUUUCUUCUUUGACCCAUCACAGCUCCAAUAGCGAAAUUGCUUGCAUCACACAUCAACUCAAAAGGUGAAUUCUAAUAAGAUGUAAAAAUUAUUAGAGAUGAGAUUAAUUGGAUUUUUAAAUCUUCAAAAGCUUCUAAACAUGCUUUGUUAAAAUAAAAACAAUAUCUUUUUUUUAAAGUAUACACAAAUGUUUAGAAAUUUUUUAGAAAUCUUUGAUAAACUUACGAUAAAAACCAGCAUGGCCUAAGAAACUUCUAACUCCUUUCACACUAAUUGGAGGUGGUAAUCUUUCAAUUACGCCCACCUUUGCUUUAUCCACUUGAAUCUUGUUUUUGGAAAUCUUAUUUCCUAAGACAAUUCCCUCAUUAACCAUAAAAUGACAUUUCCUCCAAUUAAGGACAAGAUUUGUCUCCUCGCAUCUUUUAAGUACCUUAGCCAAAUUAUUCAAACAAACAUCAUAAGUGUUACCAAAAAUAGAAAAAUCAUCCAUGAAAACCUCAAAAAAAAUUUCAACCAUAUUAGUGAAAAUUGCCAUAAUAUAUCGCUGAAAUGUGGCAAGUGCAUUACAUAAGCCGAAAGGCAUUUGCCUAAAAGCGAAUGUACCAUAUGGGCAAGUAAAAGUAGUUUUAUGUUGGUCUUCUUGGGGCUACAACUAUUUGGUUGUAUCUCGAAUAUCCAUCUAAAAAGCAAUAGAAUUUAUUACCUUUCAGUCGAUCUAACAUCUAAUCCAUAAAAGGUAACAAAAAAUUAUCCUUACGAAUGGCUUUGUUCAAUUUUCUAUAAUCAAUAUAGAUUCUCCAACCUAUGAUAGUUCUCAUUGGGAUUAGCUCGUUGCAUUUAUUUUUGAAAAUCGUGAUCCCACCUUUCUUUGAUAUACAUUGUACUGGGCUUACCUAAGAACUAUCUGAGAUGGGGUAGAUAAUUCCUUCACCUAACCAUUUGAUCACUUUCUUCUGUACUACCUCUUUCAUGAUAGGGUUAAGUCUCCUUUGCCCAUCAAUUCUACCUCGUUUACCUUCCUCUAAAAUAAUCUUAUGCAUACAGAAGGAAGGGCUUAUACCUUAUAUGUCAACUAUGGUCCAAUCAAUUGCCUUUUUAAAUUUCUUUAAAAUAACAACUAGUUGCUCUUCUUAGUGUUGCGUCAAUUCUACAGAAACAAUCACAGGCAAAGUAGAACAGUUGUCACGCCCCAAAAUUAGGCUUAGGAGUUUUAGGGGUAUUCUAGGAAUUUUGGCUUAGAUGAGUUUAGAAUUUGAUAAGAUAGGUAAUCAAUUAAGUUUUCGACAACGGUUUACAUAAAACUUAAGUCAAUUCCUAAAACCAAGUUUAAAAUGUCUUCGAUUUAGUAAAUAGGUUUGAUUCAUAAAUGUGUCAAAACUGGGAGUCUUUAUGAAGCAAAUAGACCAGAAUUUUAAAAUCAACACAAUAAACCCCAAUUUUAGUUUGCUUUCACGUUAAAAUUUUUUCUUCUUUUUGCUUGUGUCAUUUUUGCUCACCUCUUGCUCUUCUAAGUGAUUUUGAACUUUGAUUCUUAAAUCUCCUUCAUUUCCAUUACCUUUGAACUUUAAACCUCUAUUAAAACCAAGUAAAUCACCCAAAAACUACAUCUUCAUCUUCAUCUUCUCCAAAACGUGGAUUUUUAGGUUGUGUCAAAAUCACCAUUUUUCUACAUUCGAGGUAAUUAAUCAUGUUUCUAUUGGUUUUAAAUUUUAUUUAGUUCUUUAAAUCAAAUUAUUAGCUUGUAAAAUGCAUGGUUUAGGUAAAAGCCAAAAUUAUGGUUAUUAGUGGUGGAUUUUGGGUUUUUUGAUAAAAGCUUGAUUUUAAAGUGUUUUUCAACUUGUUUUAGCAUAAUUAGAAGCUUUCUAAAGAUACUUUGAAGUUUUGUUACGAAAUUCUUAAGUUUUAAUGAAUUCGUGUUCUAAAGGCUAAAACUUGUCGAAAUAUUUUGAUACCUUAAAACAUGUGGUUUUGGGUAGUUUAAAGGUUGGGAAUUAGUCGUAAAUGAACAUGUAGGUGAACAGAAUCCAUUUCGUGCAAAAAUAUUAAGUGAAGGUCGAGAUAUUCGAAUCUAAAGUUUCUAUGUUAAAAGUUAAGGUAGUUGAGGCUUAUGUUUGUGACUGUUUUAAUGAGUUGAUGGUUGUUUGGUUGAUGGUGUAUUUGUAUGGUUUUCCUUCUUGAAGCGUUGAAGUUAGUAGGACCUUCAACGAGUAGAUAUAAAGGCAAGAAAAAGCUUACCUAAGCUUUCAAUUUUCGAAAAAAGCAUGUAAUUUGGUGAGUUUUUUGGAAUAAUCACUCACAAGCAAAUCGAUUUGUAUUUCAGAAUUUAGAAGUAGCCUAAACAUCUACUAUAAAUUCCAAGUGUAAGUGUUCUCACAUUUAUUACUGAAUGGGUUGUAUGUAUGUUAUAGAAAUUGAGGUCGUUGACUUAUGCAUAUAAAUGUAAUGCUAGAAUAUAUGCCAUGAACAUGAGAUGACAGUUGUAUAUGUGAUUAUGAGGGCAUGUUAAACAUGCCAUGUGAUAGAGUUUAUAAAGUAAAAUGAAUGUGUAUGUGCAAUGAAAAUGUGCAGAAAAAUCAAUACGUAAUUGUGUUUUUUAUUAUAGAUAUUUUGACCUUAUGAUUUAAUAAGACUGUUGGAUAUAGUUCGCAUGCCAUAGGAUUAUGAGUAUUCAUUUACAUGUGUUGUGAUAUUGGGGCACUGAUGCCUAGGGAUAGAACUCAGAGGGAUAAGGGUAUGUGAGCCAAGCUCUAUUCAUCAGGAUAUGUAUGUGUGGUGUGUUGGAGAGUGUUAGCUAUACACUUCACUUAUGGGAUAUGACUGACUCGACGAGUUUAUGUGUGGUGUGGUGGAGAUCUGUGUAUCCAAUGUGCGGUAACAAAGUCCACUUUAUGUUUCAUCCUCUCAUGAGCCAAUCUAUCAUAAUUUGUAUUUUUAUGUGAUUCUCGUGAUUAAAUCCAUGAUUAUGGGUGUAUAUAUGAAAUUUUAUUCAAGUCGCAUGUGUUAAAAAAUAUGAUAUAUGUUGCUUUGAUGUUGCUAGAUGACUUGUUUGUACAAGUGUUUACUCUAAGCAUUCACUAAGCUUGUAAAGCUCACACACUCCAUUUUUACCAUUACAGAUACUUAGUGUUGGUGUGAGCAAGAUGACCAUCGAGGGAUUGAUGCAAGCUAUUCUUUAGUCAUUAUUGUAGGUGUUAUUAAUUAUUCUUGAGUAUACAAGUUAAGGCAAUGGGAUAGAUGGUUAUAUUGGUUUUGUUUAGUAUAUUUUGGAUUAAUUGUUUGCGUGGUAAAUAUGUUUAGAAGCAUUUGGAUUUGGACAUGGUAUUUUGGAUUAUUGUUUAAGUUCGAAUGAUUAAAGUACUCAUAUAUGUUGAAUUUUUGUAAUUAGAAACGGCAGUAUCGAUAUAUAGGUUUAAAAAAUGAUACCUCUGUACUCACGAAAGUCCAGGGGUCAGAAUACGAAAUUGGUAUCGAUACCAUGGCUAGAGUAUCGAUACUCGAGGAGUAAUUAUCAAUACCUUAAGAGAGGUAAUGAUAUUUUCUAAUAAGUUUGGUUUCAGAUGGAAAAUAGUGAGCUAGUUUGGUAUCGAUUUUCCAUGUGGUAUCGAUACCACUAAGAAGAAAUAUCGAUUCCUUAGAUUUAGUAUCGAUACCUAUGUUACCUUUUUGGGAAAUUUUUCUAUGAGGUCCCUAUGGUUGAUAAAUGCUCUAAUUAAGUUCGAAUGUUGCAUGUUUGCUCGACUAAGUUUCAAAUUGAGUCUACAUGACUCGUAAUUGGCUUCUAAGUAUUAUCUUUUAAAGCAAUUAAAAAGAUACAUGUUCACCUAUCAAAAUGUAGUCUUGAUGAAUAAGAAGUGAGACGGUGAUUUAACGCCCUAAUAUUUGGGAUCAGCGACCAGGCCGGGGAUAUGGUGUUAUAAUAGUUACCUAAAUAAACAUAUUUUAAACGAGACAAAAGUACCUUUAGUUCAAGCUUAGGUGAUUCCUCGAUUGACAAAUUUGGUUUUGUGAAUUCCUGAACUUCUAACUCUAGUGGUUCGAACCGCAGUGGUUGAACAUAACUCCUCGAAUUGGAUUCCAUCAAAGCCAUGUUUUCAUUACCAUUUUCAUCAUCCAAAGGUUCAGACACUAAAGUAUUCUCCAAUGGGUCUUCUCCAAGAUUUCUCUCUAUAGAAACUAAGGUUUCUAAUUCCUCCGUUGGAUCGGGAAAUUUCAUCACCUUCAGAAUGUUAAAUGAUACCUGGUCGUCUUGAACUCACAUGAUGAGUUCUCCUUUUUGCACAUCUAUCAACGUUCUUCUCGUGGCUAGGAAAGGUCUCCCUAGGAUGAUUAGAACUUCCUUAUCUGCUUCAAAGUCUAUCAUCAUAAAGUCAGUGGGAAAAAUAAACUUAUCAACUCUUACCAAAACAUCCUCGAUCUUUCCCUCGAGAUAUGCUAAUGAACGAUCCGCUAAUUGAACUGUCACAGUAGUGGGUUUUACUUCACCUAUUCUCAACAUUUUGAAAAUAGAUUUGGGCAUUAAGUUAAUGCUUACUCCUAAGACGACAAAGCUUUACCACAAUAUGAUUCACCAAUGUUACAGGGUAUCGUAAAACUUCCAGGAUCCUUCAGUUUUGGAGGUAGCUUGUUCUAUAAGAAUGCACUGCACUCAUUCGUCAAAGCAACAAUCUCAUACUCACUAAGCCAUUUCUUCUUGGACAAGAUAUCCUUUAUAAACUUCAUGUAGUUAGGCAUUUGUUCUAAAGCCUCCACCAACAGAAUGUUAAUUUGAAUUUGCUUUACCUCUAGGUUGAUACAGAAAACUUAUUCUACUAAAGUCUUUGAGGAUAUGGAACUCUAGGUUGAUACAGACAACUUUUCUAAAGAGGUAAAUCUAUAAAAAAAAGGUGUUAGCUUUUCAAACUUUACUAGUUUAAGGUUUAUCUUAUCAGAUUUUUCAGCAUCUAAUUUUUCUGAUGUAGGAACCUCAACUAUUGGUUGACUUUCCUCCUUCUCAGUAGGCUUAUCUUCAAUCACAACCUCAGAUUCCAAAAUCUUAUCACUUUGUAACUCAACCACUUUGAUUGCUCCUUACCCAAAUUUCUUAGAUUUUCUAUAUCACUCGACAAGGCUCCUCAUGGUCUAUUAUGAAGGUUAGUAGUUAAUUGACCCAUCUGGUUCUCUAGAUUUUUUAGUGUUGCUACUUGACUUUGGAUCAAGGCGUCAUUUUUCGCCAUGUAUACCUUCAAAAAAAUCCUCCAAACUAUUUAAUGACUCAGCUUGAGGUGGUUUUAGGGCUUGUUGGUUAAACCAUUGGGAUUGGUUAGGUCUAUGCUACAUUUGAUUAUUGUUCGAUCCAUUUCCUUGGUUACUCUAGUAAAAGUUCGGAUGCUUCCGCCAUGAUGGAUUGUAGAAGUUGGACUAGGGUCCUUGUCCACUUCUAUUUUAAUACUAAUUCCUUACAUAACAAAUUGACUCGGGGUUUGAAGGGCAAUUCUCGAAAGAAUGAAUAGCCCUACAAUAUACAUAAGAAAUUACAUCAUACUAACUUGAUGAUUGGGCUGCAAAAUUAUUUAAACCAUUGGUGGUAAAUUAUUUUAACAUUGAGGAAAUAAAAUAUACCUGAGCAGAGAGUGAAGUUAGUGCGUCCACUUCAUGCACUCCGGCUACUCGUUUUCUUGAAACUACUCGAUUUGUCAGCCAUUGGUAAUUAUUGCUAGUUAUCCUCUCGAUGAUAUCUUAAGCUUUGUUAUAAGACUUAGAUAAAAUUGCACCGUUUGUAGAAGCAUCAACCAUUAAUCUUGUGUAUGCUUUGAGACAAUUAUAAAAUGUCUCCAACUUGAUGCAUUGAGGAAUCUUAUGACGAUGACACUUACGAAGUAAUUCCAUGAAUCUUUCCCAUGCCUCGUACAAGGAUUUGUCUUCCAACUAUUGGAAACUAGUUAUCUUACAAAGCAAUUUUGCAUUUUUGCUCGGUGGAAAAUACUUUACCAAAAACCUUUCUGCCAAUUCUUGCCAAGUAGAUAUUGAACUUAGUGGCAAUGAAUUCAGCCAUGCUUGUGCUCGAUCUCGCAACGAGUACAAAAAUAGUUUUAACCUCAGUGCGUCUUCAGUCACACCAGUUAUCUUGAACGAAUCACUCACCUCCAAGAACAAAAGAAGGUGUAAGUGUGGAUCUUCUGUGGGCAUACCACUGAACUGGCCCACCAUUUGGUGCAUUUGAGACAUCACCGGUUUCAAUUCAAAUUGGGGUGCCUCGAUAUCUGUCCUCCAAAUUCUUGGAUUUAACUCAUUGAAGAAUGGCACAACAUAUUGUUUGAUGGCACGAUCCCUAUCAUCAGCACUAAGGAUUGGGUUAUGAACUUGAUUGACUCCAUUACCUUGCCCAACAUUUUGAUUUCUAAGGUCCAUCUCGGCUUGUCUUUGAGUAGAUAUUUUGCUUCUUCUUUGUAUAAAAGUUUGUUCGAUUUCAGGGUCUACAAGUAAUAGAUCAGUGAUUCGAUCUAUGCUCAUAAAACACCUAAAAUAAAUAAAAAAUAAAUUAUUAAAGUUAAAAAAAAAUAAAUAAAAAUAAAAACCACACUGUAAAAAAUAAUUUCACAAAAAAAUGAUUAAGGCAACAGCCCUCGGCAACGAUGCAAAAAACUUGUAAUGAGAAAUAUGCACAAGUGUACACAAUCGUUCAAGUAGUAAGUAAGUAAAAUGAGUUAUCAUCUCCAUAUGGAAUGUGUAUGUUAAUCGAUUAAUUGCAAAAUUAUAAAUUACAAUUUGAUAUAAAAAUAACUCAAUAAUUUUGGAUUGUGAUGAUUAAAUUAACUAGAUGCAAAGAGUGAUCCCUAAUGCAAUUUUAAUCUAAAUGCAAAUUAUCUAAAUGGAUGACUUUAGCAACAAAAACUAUCAACAUUAAAUGGGUUAGGACAACUAGAUUAAUCAAUUCAAUUUACUUUAUCAUGCUUAACAAUGUUCGGAAAUACUUCCAUGGCAACUCGGUCUUUCAUGAGUUUGGAAGCCAAAUUAAGUCCUCUCGGAUCUUUUACUUAGUGAAAUAUGAAUUUCACUGAUCAUAUUAGACUAAGGGUUUCUUAGCAUUUAUGCAAGGUCAUAGGGACAUUUAAGAUAUUAUGAACCUCAACUUAGUCGGGUUUAAGGAUCUAAAUUGAGUAUUGCACUUUUCAAUUAUGUGUCUACUAGACGUCGUCUGGUUAGGAUCGCUAUAACGCCCCAGAAUUUUUAAUUUUUGUUCUUGCGAAGGUGUGACAUAACUGUGUAUCUACUUCAGUGGUUAAGUGUUUUGUGUGUGUGAGAGAUCCCAAGUUCAAGGUAGGACUUGGGAAAAUUUUGGUAUUUUUAUGAAUAAUCUUUGGUCAGUAGGCUUUUAAGUAAAAGUUGACAAAUAAUUAACAGAAUGGGUCUGCUGGUUUGGUGGAUAAGUGGAGUUUUGGUGUGAAGGAGGUCCUGUGUUCAAUUCUCUGUGAUGGCGUGGAGACAGUAUUUUUGCUCCAAUUUCUGCUAAGAGUUGUGUUAGGACAAAAUUCUGAGUAGUUGUGUUUAAGUGGGUUAAUAGGGAGUGAUUUUAGGAGAUAAUGGGGGAGAGAUUAUUAGAAAAUAAUCUGAUUAUCAUUUUGUUGUAGAAAAAAAGUAGAUUUUCGAUUUUCUCUCCAAUUACCCAAACUUUUUUUGAUGUUUUUUAUUUCUUUUUUUCCCUCCUCUACCGAUUCUUUCCCCUAGUUACUGCCAAAAUUUCCAUUAUUUUUCCCCCUUCCAUUUCUUUCUUUAUUUUCCAAUUGAUUUGGUUGUUCAUCGUUGGUUGCACAUGUUCGGUAAGUAAUGAUUUUGUCUAUUGUUAAUCGUUCUUGGUUAAUCUCUGAAAGGGGAAUUCCUUUUUGGUGUUUAGGAGUUAAUCAAGGGGAUGGUGGUUUUGAAUCGAUGCUGUGAUUGUGUGAAAUCGUGGUUACUCAAGCAAGGUAGGGGUUUUGUUAGGUUUUUAGUCGAGUUCCUUCCAAAAUUGGUUGAUUAAAAAUGAAUUAAGUGAUUAAUCUGGAGAUUUGUUGGUCGAUUUUUAGGUUCUAGAGGCUUAGGAGUGCUUAUGCAUCAGAAACAAUACUAGGUGUGUACCCGAAAUGCAGAAAAUGGAAUUGGGGGAAAAGACGAAAUUGUUUGCUGUCGAGAAAUAAGAGAAAAUCAUGUGAAAAAUUGUAGAGAAAGGAAAUAAGAGUUUUAUAAACUUGGAAAUCAACAUUCUGCACUAAAAUAGUUUUGGACAACGACAGUAGUCUAAGUUUGAAAAAUCAUCAAAAAUAGUGGAAAUUGAGUUAGAGGUUGAAUAAAGUAUGAAAUUAAAUUUUAUUGAGUUUAGUUUUUCAUGCAAGAAAUAGUGUAAGCAAUGAAAUUGUAAGUUCUGAGAUAUAAUGAAUUUUGUGAGACAAGGUCAGAAUGGGUUCGGGUUCCCCUGUUCUAACUUUGGAAAAAUCAUCAAAAAUUAUAAAAAAAUAAUUAGGGGCUUAAAUUUAUAUGUUUAAAUCCUUAACGAGCCAAUUUUCAAGAGAAAUAAAUGGAAACAUCAUCCGAAUUCCGUACUAAGAGAUAAAUAAUUUUAAGGAAAUGUUGAAGUUGUCAAACAACAGAAUCGGGAUAGAUUUGAAGAUUUUACUGUACUUAUUUGAUAAACUAUAAAAUCUGAAAAUUUUAUGGUAGAAAGGUGUUUGAGUCUAGUUUCGAAAACAUCAAGCAGAUCUUAAUUUAGAAUUCUGUAGCUCAAGAUAUAAAUAAUUUAGGGACAAUGACUCAAGUAGACAGUUUUGAAUGAACAUAUAAGUAAAUAGUGAAAACAUAUAUGAAUGUUUAGCUAGCAUGGGUUACAUUAAAAAUGGAUCACACGGCCAAGGCCAAUUUGGGUUGAGUGGGCCACACGGACACACACGGGGGUGUGGGCCCAUUUUUGCCGGAAUGUUUCUAAGGUUGCACUGGUCGCCCAAGUCGACUGUGAACCUACUGUAAGGUCGGUAAGCGCUACUUAAACCCCUAAAUGUGUGAAAUUGACUGAAUGAUAUCUGUACUGAACAUGUUAAUAUCUAAACUGAAUAUAUGUACUGAAAUUGCUUAAUAGCAUAUCAUCCAUUAUAUGUUGCAUUGCAUUGGGUUGGGGUUGUUAUUCGGAAGAAGUGUAUGAAAGGCUUUAAGCCUAAUUUACUGGCAGCUCAGCUACAAAAUACUGUUUUGUGCCGCAUUUGGUACUACUUGGAGUGUAGGGAUGGGUGGGUUGAUUAUAUCCCCACAUGGAGUGUAGGGUUGGACAGAGAUUGUGUGUAGAGGCUGGAUGGGUAGGAUUUUGCUACUGUAUAACUAUUACUGCUACUGAUACUGUGAUGGGCUAAGACCCUACUACAUUUUUGACACUGUACUAAGAUAGGAUAAGGCCCAAACUAUCACUGAUACUGAAAAGGGCUUAGGCCUAACACUGUUCAACUAUGCACUGUGAAUACUGAUUGUUUGUUUGUUUUUGCGGGAUUACACACUGAGUUUACGUAAACUCACCCUUUUUUGUUUAAUGUGCACAGGUAAUCCCCAGACUUAGACGGAUCGGUGCAAGGGAGGACUCAGCGGUGACCACAGAAAUUUUUGGACUUCAUGGUUUUUAAUUUACAUUUUAUGAUUUAAUUAUUAUUGAUUAUUUGGGUUGUAAUUUAAGGACCCUCUAGGACUUUAGAUUUAAAUUUUGGGUUUUUAUUUAUUUAUUUUACUUUAUGGAUUUAUACCUACUGGUCGUUCGAAAUUCGGUUUUCAAAAAGUUAAAGUAGUUUCUAAACGCAUGAUCACUUAGACAGUUUUAUUAAAGCUUUCGCAACGAGGGAUGUUUCAAAACAAAUGUUUUAAAUGAAUAAAGACGACUUCCUAAGUUCUAACAAAGGUUUACUAAAGAUAAUAACAUGAAAUGUUUUCAACAUAACAACGAGGUUUCAAAAACACUAUCGUGUGACAUUGCCUGAGACGGCCAUAACGUCUAGGCUGGGUUUGGGGUGUUACAAUCGCUUAACUAGUCUGAGUGCACCCAAUCACGUAUGAAUGAAAUGCAACAUGAUAUUAAUUAAAAACAUGAUCAAAUGAGGCCCAAACAUAUUAAACAUGAAUAAAAUAAAUCUUAUUGAAUUAACAUAAUCAUCCUAGCAAAUAGGAUUUAAAAUACAAUAGUUGAUGUCAAAAACAAUAAACUCAAAGCAAACAUAAAUGACAAGAGGAAAGAGUAAACUCUAUUCAGUUCAGCAGCCUUUCGGAUCUAUUCUGACUGAUGCGCUCCUCUGUUCUAAUCGAUGCUUCUUUGCUAAGGGUUUCAAGGUGGCCGGCCAAAGAAUGCUUUUGAAAAAAAAAUUUUGGGUAAAGGAUGGAAGGGAGAUGGUGGCUAUGCAAAGGAAAGGAAGAGGAGAAUGGAAAGGGGAAUGAUAGAUGAGAGAAUGAAUAAGAAAUGAAUGUUGAGGGAUGAUGGAUCAGAGAUCAGGGAUCAGGGAUGUAUGGUAUUUAUAGAUGAAUGUAAGGGGUAGAGUUUACUAAAAAUAGAAUUUAAAUUCCUUCCUUUUCUCUCACAUAUGGCCGGCCACAAUUCAUGGAAAAGGGGAUGACUUAGUCUCCUCAUUUUGAAUUCAAACCAAUGUUAUUAAUAGCCAUAGGGUGGAUGGUUUCAACAACAAAGUUGUUAGGCUGAUACCUGAUUAUUUUCCAACUAUAAGGACCUUCAAUUAAAUACCCCAAAGCUUACUUUUGGGCAGCCAUCUACUUGUGUCAAAACUAGGCUAUAAUUCCCCAUUGUUGAUGGUUUCUCAGUCCAAUAAUUUAGCAGACAUGUCCAUCUUUUAGCACAUCUUUUGUUGGGUCAAAUUAACAACCUCAUGACCCAGUUUUGCAUGGUCUUGUCGUCCACAUGAAUUGAUUUGUGCAUAUCCAUGUUUCAUUCAUAUUAAUCACAUUUUCAAUGGUCCUCCUACAUAGUGAAAAAUCACAUAUUAAUAAAUUAACAUGAAAUAAUAUAAAAUAUGUACAAAAAUAAUGUACUUAAGCACAAUUUCAAUUACUUUAUAAAGGUAUGCCCAAUAUUACUAACUAAGUAAAAUUCACUUAUUUUAAUAACGAUUACUUAAUAUUAACAUAUUUAUUAAGUAAAAAUGUGGUAAAAAUAUAUAGAAAAACCCUAUAUAAUUUUGAGUUUACAAGACUCACAUCAUUCCCCCUUCCUCAAGAAGACUCGUCCCCAAAUCUUUAGCUACAUAAAAAGAAAAUGGAUUAGAACAAAUAACAAUAAAAUUAAAAAAAUACUUACCUAAGGUUUCUUGUGAGCCAAAACUAUUUCCAGGAUCAAAGAUAUUAUUUCGAUCCUUCAAAUUAGUUUCAAUCAUGGACAUCUAUUUUAAAAACAAGGUAUCAACACUAAGAAAAGAAAUGUUAGUCACAUGAGUGUUUAUGUAAAAAUUUAACUAUAACUUUCUUUGAUUAUUCAUUGUUAUCAAUAAGAAUUUCCAAAGAUUAGUUAAUAAUUUCGCAUAAUAAUCAAAAUCUAGAAGUUUAAUAUUAUUAUAUAAAAAUUCAUAUUAAAAGUCUAAGGUAUAAAAUUUUGUUGCAAGAUCAAAUGCAUAAAGUUCUUUAAUAAACCUAUUGAAUGCAACGAAAGUAAACUUGACAUACCUAGAUAAACUCAUAAAAUUAAUUGAACUUUCAGACCAAGGUUUAAUAAAAUUUGACCAACAAGAAAACAUGUUAUAAGGAAAUAUUUUACAAACAAAAUCAGUAGCAUACUUAUCAAAAACAUUCAAGGUAGGCCUUCUUAAAUCAAUUUCUAAUAUUUCAUCACAUUUCUUAACUUGUAACACUUGUAAGGAAUUAUCAAUAUUCAACUUACCUCUUUCCCACAAGUAAAAUCAUCUAUCGAUGGUAAAGUAAUAUAAUUGGAAGUCCGUCAAUGGAUCCCUGAAGUCAUGUAAUGAAGAAACACCACUAAACAAAUUUAAGUUAGGAUUAGUUAAAACAUAAUCAUUCCUCACUUUUGUAUGGGUAUUUUCUUGCUUUUCAUUUUCUUUUUUUCCACUUAAGAACUCUCUAAUUUUACCUCAUUUGGAUUUUCACUCACCAAAUUUGGACCAUCAAGUAGACUUUUAUCACUCAAGGUCUCUUUUCUCUCUAUCUUUUGACAUGAUUCUUCCUCACUUCCCAUAUCCCCCUUACAAGUAUUAUGAAUAUUCAAUUUAGUGCAAUACAUAGCAGUAGGAGAACAUGACAUUUCUAUCUCAUCUAACUCCAUCACUAUCAUUUUUUUAUCAACAAAAGUCUCGUGUUGGCACAAUCACGACUAUAGUACCCAUACCAUUUGCACUUAAAACAUUCAAUUUCAUGAGCAUUUUGUUGUUUUGGUAAAGAAUUAGUAAAAGUGGGCUGCUUAGAAGAUGUAGAAGAAUGUUUUGUAGGAACCCCACUUUUCCACUCAAAAGGUUUAAUCUCAUCAUGUUUUGGCAGCAACUUAUUAGUAGCAUAAGGAGGUUUCGAAUUCUUGAAAGUAGAAUUAGAACUCAUACCUCUAUAAUUUUGUGAUGCACCAAAUGGACGAGAUUGACGUUGUUGAAAUUGCUGCACAAUCUUAACUACCUUGUGUACCACCUCCUCAGGAUCAAUAUAGGUUUGAAGAUUAAGAACAUUGGCUAUCAAAACGUUCAAGCCAUCUAUAAACCACACCAUGGUAAUCUCUUCAUCUUCUCACAAAUUUUCUCUUUGCAUAAGCAUCUCCAUCUCUUUAAAGUACUCAUGAACAGAUCGAUUACCUUGAACAUGGUGUUUAAAUUUCAUUUUGGCCUCUCUGUGGUAAUGAGAAGGAAUGUAACACUUUCACAUCACUUGCUUCAACUCGUCCCAUGUUUCAAUUACCCUUUUGUAAUUUCUUUAACGAUUAAUUCUAUGUUGAAUCCAUCAACUCAACACAUAAUAUGAAAAUCCAAGGGUUACCAUUGAGAGUACUUUUUCCUUUUCUAAGCAUUUAUAGUAAUGGAACAUAAGUUCAAUUUUUGGUUCCCACUCACAAUAUGCUUUGGAAUCAUACUUCCCUCAGAAUGGUGGAAUGUUCAACUUUGAUUUAGCUAAAAAAAUGUUGCCUACAGUCAUUAUUAACCAAAGUCUCAUCAUUUGCACGAGAGACAUAUUGAGCAUUACUUGCACGAAGACGAGGCUGAUCAACCUUAUCUCCCCAAUUACGAUUUCGACACUCAAUUUUGGUACAUAGACAUUGCAAUUUUUUGCUAAUUGUGUCUAGAAUAAUUUCAUGUUUCUAAUCUCAAGCAUUUCAAACCUCUUGAUCUCUUUGCAACUUCCUAAUCAUAGUAUUGUGAAUCAUUAUAAAAGACUGAAAAGAACACAGCACUUAAGAAAAGAAAAAUUAAGCAAACCUCACUGUUAUGCACUCGCAAUAAAUAAAUAAACUUUAAGAGACAAAGAAAAUAAAUUAAGAUUUUCUUGCUUGUAACUUUUAAAGAGUAAUCAAACUCAAUAAUAUUAAAAAGAUGUGGGAUCACUCUUUAACAAAGUCGACCUAAGGCUCUAAGAAGCCAAAGAAAAACUCGACUCCAAAAGAAGUAAGUUGCGCGGAGAAAUGAGAGAUAACUUUUUUCGUACCUAUUAACACAAGAAACGAAAAUGUGUUAGAAUGCGUAAUAGAAUAAGAAAAACUAAAACAAAAGAAACCCUAAUGCUAGAAUCAAAGAAAAUAAAGUACCCAACCUAAAACCUGAAAUAAUGGAAAACAACUUGAAUAUUUUUGUUUAAGGUGUUCCCGAUUUCCAAAAAUCAUGAAAUUUAAAUUGGAGUCUCUUCAAAUAAUUUAGAUCUGAUUUGAAAAUUUUGACACAAAAAUCAUCCACAAUUUUUUUUUGUUUUUGCAGUUUUUUGAUCACUUUUUUGUGGGAAAUAUUUUUUUAUAUUCUAAGAGAGUUCCAAGAACCGGUAUGUAAAAUUUCAGAUCGUAUGGAAAUUGUUUACCCAUUGAAAAAUAUUUUUCUGAAAUCUUUCUAGGUAAAAAGAAAAAAAAUUAUUUGCGAUUUUUCGUUGGAAAUCAGUUUAAAAGAAAACAAAAAACACCUAAAUUUGAUACCGAAUGAUAAGGAGUUGGAGUGGAGGAAGCGGAAGAAGGAUCGAAUUCAAGUUUUUUCACUCAAGAAGGAAAGAUUUGGAUGUGACUUGAAAGGAAGAAAAUAACAAAAGAAAUAAGAAAAAUAAGAAAACUAAACAAAAAAAUUAAAGGAAAAAUAUUCAAAAUAAUAACUAAAUACUGAAAAUAUAGAUUAAAGUAAAGUGGAAGAUUGGACAAUAAAUCGAUGGAUAUGAUGGAUAGAAGGAUAAAUGUCCAAUUGAACCCAUUUGAGAUAUAAAUCCCAACAAGCUCAAUUAAUGGCUUUAAUUAACCCUCCAAGAAAUAAUCGUUGGCAAAUUGAAGGGUGAAGAAUGAAUUCUCAUGACUCCUUGAAGAAAAUAGAGAAGAAAACUACUUCUAAAAAUCACAAGAAAGAAAUCUUGUACAAAGAAACAAACUUCUAGAGUUGAAAACUUUAUUAAUGAAAACAAUUGUAUGAUUUGUGUACAAUGAAAAGGCUUGUAUAUAGGCUAGCUAAAUAAAUCUAAAUAAAACUUUUAAGUAUACUAGAAAUCUAACUAAUCUAAACAAGAAGUAGUUUUAAACUAAACUUUUUUGUUGACAUAAAACUCCUAUAUAACUUAAACUACUUAAUAAUUAUUAAAAAUUCAGAAUAAUAAAAUAAUAAGAGCUGAUAAAUAUAAUAUUGAGCUCAUAUAUAAUAAAAAUUAAGCCCAAAACCUAAAACCAAUAUGAUUUAAACUCAAGUUAAAAGCUCGAAACUCGUAAUUUCUAUCAUAAUCCCCUCCAAAAAUUAUGCUCGUGCAGUUUUCACUAAAACGAUCAUAACAUGAGCUCUCGAACUCAAAAUCGAGUGAUUUAAAGUGUGUUUCGAAGAAAAAAGAUAGGUCUUCGAACGCCAUGGUGACAUCUCAACCUAGAAUUGUCUGGAUCUCAUCCAAAAAGUUGUCACAAGUCUACUAAUUUUCCAAACUUGAAAAUUGGCAGCUUUGGUGAAUGAAAUUUAAUAAAUUUCACCUCAUUUGUGCAUGUAUAUCCCCCUUUCCUUGAAAAGAUUCAUCCUUGAAUCUUGUCUUUGAUCGAAUCUUAGUUUGAUUUGCUUGGGGUUUGACAUUGUUGUUAGGCCUUGAGGUAGUGUGAGCUCAUCACAUCCAUGGGUCUGAAAUUGGGCCUUGAGACUCGCAUCAAAAGGUAAGUUAAUAUGUAAUUGUUUAAAAAUUUUAAGAAAUUUACCAAAUUGUUCACCAUGCAGUCUUUCUUCAACUUUUCUAGAUAUGGAAUUGGUGGCUUGUAUUCCUUAAGAACUAGUGUUUGAAUUCUCUCGUUUUCUUUCACCCCAUCAUCUUUCUCAUCAAUUUCUUGUUUCAACUUCUUUUCCAAUUCAGACAAUAGCUUCCCACUUGUCAACAUAACUACUUUUACAUGCUCUUUUGGGUUGGGUCCAGUGUUACUAAGUAAGCUACCUUGUUGUUUCUCCGAAACUAGUUUAGCCACCUAUCCAAUCUAAUUUUUAAGUCCCUGAAUUAAGUCUCUUGCUAAAUUUUUAGAGUUGUCUCAGUGUUUUGAAAUCUAGUUUCAGAAAUCAAAAUAAAUUUAGCUAACAUAUUCUCAAUGUUCAGUUUCUUUUCUUGUUGAUAAAGUUGAUGAAAACUUGGAGGGGGUUGUGACCUUUAAUUUCCUUGACCACCCUAAGAAAAAUUCGGAUGGUUCCUCCAUCUUGGAUUAUAAUUAUUGUUAUAGGGGUUAUUUUGAGGUUUAGAAUUAUUACUCAUAAUUUCAACUUGCUCAUGCUCCAUGUUAGACUUGAAGGGCAAACAUUCCGGAUUAAUCAUCCCCGUUCCAGUCGCAUCACAUUGCAUUACUAGAUUCAUCUGCCCAACCAAACUCAAACCAUUAGCUUUCUAACCAAGAGCUUCAACUUGACUAGCCAAUAUAGAUACUACAUCAAUAUCGAAAACUUUGAUUGCCUUGGAAGGUUUUACUCUCAUAACUUGCCACUGAUAAUUAUUUAGUGACAUCUCCUCAAUAAACUCUUGGGCUGCCUCAGGUAUUUUGUUAUUCAGUGUUUCGCCAGUUGCUGUGCUAAUCAUCUACCUAGUCGAGGGGUUCAAACCAUUGUAAAAAGUUUCAACUUGGAGCCACAAAGGUAAUCAAUGAGGAGGACACCUUCUCAAGAGGUGCUUCAAUCUCUCCUAUGUAUCAUAAAGCGCCUCAAGAUCAAAUUGAACAAAAGAAUAGAUGUCAUUCCUUAACUUAGUUGUUUUGGCUAGUGAAAAAUACUUCAACAAAAACUUCUCAGUCAUUUACAUCCAAGCCAUGAUGAAAUCCCAUGGCAGUGAAUUCGACCACUGUUUUGCCUUGUUCCUCAAAGAGAAUAGGAACAACCGUAAGCAUAUGGAAUCAUCAGUAACACCAUUUAUCUUAAAUGUGUCACAGAUCUCCAAAAAGUUAGACAAAUGAGCAUUCGAAUCUUCAUAUUGCAAACCAUCAAACUGAACAUACUAUUGCACCAUCUAAAUUUUGUUUGACUUAAUCUCAACAUUGUUUACAGUAAUAGUCAGUUUGACAAUAGUCGAUUCAGCCUUAAUUAGAGUGGGCUUAGCAUAGUCAAACAUAGUCCAAGGAGCAGGACUUCCAGGAAGUUGCGGAUUAACAAGAUUAAUAUCCAUCUCCACAGUAAUGUCAUUUUGCUCUUGAUUGUUUACUAAAAUCUAUUGAAUUUUAUUUGUUUCUCUAACCUCUCUCUAAUUUUUUCGAGAAUUUUUUUAUCUCACUAUAAAAAACUAAUGGUUCCAAUGAGUUGCCUCUAGUAAUAAACCAAAAGAACUUGUAAGAAUCAAAAAAAGGAAAAAAUUAGAAUGUAAAAAUUAAAUUAAAAAUAAAAGUAUUAAAAUUAAAAUAAGAAAUGACUAAAUUAAUAGAAAUAAAGUUUUCCUAAUAUUCUAGUCUAUGGCAACAGCUCCAAAAACUUGAUGCAUCGCGAAACUAAUUAGAAAUUUGACUAACGCAAGUGCACCUAUCAAUUUAUAGUAUAGCUAUGGCUAGAAAAUAUAUUAUUCCCACGAAGAUUAAAAGUACUAGUAAUUAUCGUCUUUCUAUUAUUUAACCGAAUAAUUUGAGUGAUUGAUUAAAAACAAAAAUUAACUAAAUUAUUUAACUAACGAACACGAGAAAGAACAAAACACGAAAAUAAUCGAUUAGCAACCAAUAACCAAAACAAUACCCAGGAAAGAAUCCUCUAGAUUCCAUCUAUCACUAUCAAUCUAAAUUACACAAUUUCUUUACUUAACACAUUGAUUCGUAGAAAUCUCUAAAUUAUGUUAAUAUCUCUUUCAAGCAUAAGAACAUCUGACUCUAGGUUGAUUAAUUGAAAUUUCUUUUUAAUUAAAACUCCUAUUAUUUCAUUAACUCGUGCUAUGAAUUCCCUAUUAGAUUUAACUCUAAUCUGGUAGAUUACGUGUAACUCUACUAAAUUACACAAGAUCUACUCUUAAACAGGGUCUAUUCAACUAUCAAUUUAAGCACAUCAAACAUGGAUUAAUAAUCUAGAAAUAUCAAACAAAUAAUUAAGCACACAUAAUUAAGAAAAAGAAACUAACACUACACCAAAACAGGCUUUUAGCGGCGUUUUUAAUGGCGUUUGGAUAAAAAACGCCGCUAAAGAUCGAGUAUUAGGGGCGCUUUUUGGCUAAAAAUUGAGCAUUAGCGGCUUUUUUUGAAACUUAGGCCCAACGAUGUCAUUUUCUAAGGUUUCGGGGCUUUAGUGGCUUUUUUAAGAAGCAUCGCUAAUGCAUGGGGAUUUAGCCGCGUUUUUUAAAAAGCGUCGGUAAAGGUUAGGGCUUUAGCGGCGUUUUUAAGGAAGCGCUGCUAGUGCUCUAUUUUUAGCGGCGUUUUUAGAAAAGCGCCACAAAAAUAUUUUAUCUGUCUAUUUAUUAUUUAAUUGGUUUGUUUAUAUUAAUUAAAAUUCAAAUUAUUUUUAAUUGAACAUUCAAAACCUUCAAAAAAAAUAAUGACACGUAGAAAUAAUUUGAAAGUGAAAACAUAGAAAAAUAUUUGUUAAAAAUAAAAAAAAUUAAAAUACUAUUAUUUAAAAUAAUUUUAAAGUUUUUUAGGUACAUGACUGAUUUUUUUAAUUUAUAUAUUAAAUAAUUUCUUAUAUAAUCGUAAAAAGAUAGUAUUAAUUUUAAAAUAUUGAAUUAAUUAUCAUUAUAGUUUAUGGUUUAUAGUUAAGGGUAUAUAGUUUAGGGUUUAAAGUUUAAGAGUUACUAUUUUUAGGUUUAUAGAUUAUGAGUUUAGGGAUUAUGGUUUAUGGUUUAUGGUUUAUGGUUUAAGGUUUAGGGGUUACGGUUUAUGAUUUAAGGUUUAUAGAUUAAGGGUUGGGGUUUAGGGUUAGGGGUUAGGGGUUAAGAGUUAAGGGUUUAAGGUUUAGAUUAAUUAGUGUUUUUUAAUUUAUAUAUUAAAUAAUUUAUUAUAUAGUUGUAAAAGAGAUAAUAUUAAAUUUAAAAUAUUAAAAAUAUGAUUAUAGUUUAAAUUAUUUAUAAAUAAUUUUAUAUUAAAUAAUUUAUAUAUUAAAUAAUUUAAUAUAUUAACAUAAUGAUUAUAGUGUUUUUAAUACAUGACUGAUUGUUUUUUAAUUUAUAUAUUAAAUUAUUUCUUAUAUAAUCGUAAAAGAGAUAAUAUUAAUUUUAAAAUAUUGAAUUAAUUAUGAUUAUAGUUUUGGGUUUAUAGUUUUGGGUAUAUGGUGUAAGGUUUAAGGUUUAAGAGUUACUAUUUUAAGGUUUAUGGAUUAUGGGUUUAGGGAUUACAGUUUAUUGUUUAAGGGUUGAGAUUUAAGGUUUAGGGGUUAGGGGUUUAAGAUUUCAAGGUUAUGUUUUAUGAUUUAUGGUUUAAGGGAUAGAGAUUUAGGGUUUAGAUUAAUUAGUGUUUAUUAAUUUAUAUAUUAAAUAUUUUCUUAUAUAAUUGUGAAAGAGAUAAUAUUAAUUUUAAUAUAUUAAAAUUAUAAUUAUAGUUUAAAUUAUUUAAGAGAUAAUCGAUAAACUUUAUAUAUAUUAAAUGGUUUAGGAUUUAAGGUUAACUUAAGAUUUGUUAAAUGAUAAAAUUUUAUACAAUCAUUUAAUGCUUUUAUAUUUAAAAAUAUUUAAUUUAAACCAUUUAAUAUAUUUAAAUAUUAGAUUUUAAAAAAAUUAAUAAGUACAAAAAAUUACUUAAUAAAUAAUUUUUAACAGAUAAAAUAAAAAAUUUUUAACAGAACAAAAUUAUAUAGUUUGUUCAAAAUAAAAUAAUUUUUUAUAAGGUACUGACAAAAUUCAUUUUAAUUAAAAAAAUUGGCGCUGAUUUUUCCCCAAAUUUGCCCCUAAAACCUAAAAACGAAAAAAUCCCAAAUUUUCCCCUAAAAUGGAGGCACGAAAGACGAUUCAUCUCCUUUGAUGAGAGUAGUAGUGUGAGGAAUGGGAAUUAUCUUCUCAUUUGUUGAAACCUGAAGCCGUGGAGAACAAGAAGAGGUCGCCUAAUUCAAAAGGGAGCAACGAAGAAGCUAUGCUUUCGUUUACUUCAGGUGUAAUCUUACCUUCAUCUGGUGUGGUGAAAUCAAGUGGGGGUGCCGGGGAUUCAGAUCACUCUGAUCUUGAAGCUUCCGUUGUUAAGGAGGCCGAUAGUAGUCGAGUCGUAGAGCCUGAAAAGAGGCCUCGGUGAACUCUGAAGUGGGCCUAUUCUCGUCGAGGAACAAUCGUUGCACCUUCUCCUUCUUCCCGUUUCGCUGCUAAUUCGCUUUUUUGCCCUUUUUUGCUUUUAAAGUACACCAAUACCACUCUUUAUUUUUUUCCUUCGUUUUCACUUGGAAUUUCGUUGGAUUAUUAAAGGUUCUUAUUGUUAUUGUUAUGUAUAGAGAGAUUACAUGUACUAAAGAGUGGUUGUUUUGGUUUUGCGGAGUUGCAGGGGUUAUUCUAGUAUUCACUUCGCAAGAUUUGAAGCAAAAUCCAUUUGUGUGUGAUGG
rnacentral:lncRNA from 1 species